UUUUUUUUUAAAAGUGUGAAAAAAAUUAAAACAAAAAAUUAGUGUAUACAUCUCGACAUUAUAUGUGUGCACGUCCAGUUUCGGAGAAAAUCAAUAUUUUUUGUGGCUUGUAUAAAAAAGACAAAAGGAUGUCUUGUGAAAAAGCAUUUUUAACACUGGAUUUUGUCUUUUUCACACGCGACACAUGAGUUGUCGGUUUUUCGCGAAACGACUUUGUGAGCAUGUACAAUAUCGAGAUGUACGUGCCAAGUUUUUGUUUGGAAUUUUUUGACAUUUCAAAAUAUGUUUAAAACAUAUUUUAAAAACCAGGAGCGCGCUUCCAUGUGCCAAAACGCCACUCUCGUUGUUAUUCAUCUUCUGCUGUUGGCACUGAAUGAUUUUAUUGUUGCUAUCCAAUGCAGAUUGUGUGAUGUUUGGUAUGCAUGUUUUUUUUAUAUUCUUCUUUCAGUGGUCUGUCACUGGAUGUUGACAUUGCACUGCAUAUAUUUUGUUUCAUUCUGGUAAGAUUUGGUUCAAUUCCUUUGGCUUAACCUUGUAAGUUUCGUUUAGUCCUUAUCGAAAAAAGAGAGAGUUUGGUUUAGUGAACUGGUUGCAUAUUACAGAAAAUUUGAAAAGUACUGGUUGUAUGUUUUUGAAAAUUUGAAAAGAUGAAGAAUUCUCAUGUUAACAAACUGGGUUGGUUGCCAACAAAAAAUUUGGGGUUAGGUUAGUCCUGAACUGGCUUCUUAGUGAACCAUAACCUCGAUCAACCCAUCGUUUUGUCAUCACUGACCCUUGCGCGGAGACCCAGUUCCUCAAUCCGGCCAACCCUGAUUCAUGGCAAAUGUGCUUGCUCCGUAACGUAGCACGAAUGAUUCCCCCAAAUAAUCAUUACAAUUAAAGCCGUUUGUUGUAUAUAUCAUCUUCAUUUCCUUUGGUGUCAACUUCUAGCAAAGGUAUAGUACUUGAGUGCAUUACAAUAAUGCUAAUUAAAAGAGCUAUAUUUGGACAUUUGAGUUGACCAUUCACAUAUAUGUCCUCUUCAUUUGACUUGCUUGACCAUCAGAAAUGUUUAACAAACUUCGAGCGAUGGUUCAACUAAUUUUAGACCUCUCCCAGUUUACAAAAAUUUCUAUUCAUUUGGGCGGGUGCGGUCGUGCGGUGAUAUUUUUCCUCCCAUCAUAACACACGAGCACAGAUAUCAAACUUACAUACGAUGCAUGACUGGUGGCAGAAACUGUUGGAAUAGACGAGAGACAACAAUCCAGAGAGAUGUAAAGUGAAUCAGUCAUUCUCAUUGAUGAUGGAAUUACAUAUAUAUAUAUAUAUAUAUAUAUAUAUAUACAUAUAUAUAUAUAUAUAUAUAUAUAUAUAUAUAUAUAUAGCCCCUGAAGCGUGCGUCUGAAGGGACACGAGGCAACCGGUUCGGUUAGAAAAAGUAGGGAUUAAUAGGAUUAAUUAAAUCCUAACACUCCCCCUAAUCCAUACUUGUUAGUGUUAGUAUCGUCAUCUUGAAAAGGCUCCUCCAAAAACCCUGUGGGAAAAAAAUAUGAGGAGAUAGGUGUUUGAUAUGUUGCUAAAACUCCUUCGAACCCAGUGGAAAAAUAAGGAGAAAAUGAUACAACAUAUAAUGGUUAUUAUCUCUUUUAACUCAAUACGAGAAAACUCGUAGAGUUUAGAGGACAAUAAAUAUGUCACAUAUACUUUCUUAAAAACCUUGGUGGGGAAAACAAUAAAUAUGACAUAUGGUCUUGUGUUGAUAUUACCUCAUUAAAAACCUUUAUGAGAACCUAUAAAGUAAACUCAUGAAGGGAAAAAGAGUAUAAUAUGAUGCUUUUAACGGAACACUUCAGGAAGAUACCCCCCCUGAUUCUUGCAUAUUCCAAAGUUGGUUGGUGGAUAUAGCCCUGAGGUCUGUUUUGAAGACUCUUCAUGAGAGGGCUACCACACCUAGUAGGAACACUAAGCUUGUCUAUGAUCUGACAUAGUGGGAUGAUAACCCACAAGUAUAGGGGAUCGCAACAGUUUUUUAGGAUAGAGUAUUCAAUCCAAAUUUAUUGAUUCGACACAAGGGGAGCCAAAGAAUAUUCUCAAGUAUUAGAAGCUGAGUUGUCAAUUCAACCACACUUGAAAGACUUAAUAUCUGCAGCAAAGUAUUUUAGUAGAAAAGUAGUAUGGAAGUAAUGGUAACGGUGGCAAAAGUAACAGUAGCAGUUUUGUAGCAACUGUAACAGUGGCAACGGAAAAGUAACGAAACAAAAAUCAAUAUGAAACGAACUCGUAGGCAAUGGAUCAAUGAUGGAUAAUUAUGUCAGAUGGCAUUCAUCAUGCAAGAGUUAUAACCUAGGGUGACACAGAACUAGCUCCAAUUCAUCAAUAUAAUGUAGGCAUGUAUUCCGUAUAUAGUCAUACGUGCUUAUGGAAAAAAAACUUGCAUGACAUCUUUUGUCCUACCCUCCCGUGGCAGCGGGGUCCUAAUGGAAACUAAGGGAUAUUAAGGCUUCCUUUUAGUAGAGAACCGGAACAAAGUAUUAGCACUUAGUGAAUACAUGGACUCCUCAAACUACGGUAAUCACCAGAAAGAAUCCCAAUUAUUGUCACCUUGGGGUAUGCGGAUCAUAACUCAUAAUAGGUGUCUACAAAUUGCAAGAUCGGAUCAAGAACACAAAUAUACUCAUGAAAACAUAAUAUGUUCAAAUAUGAAAUCAUGGCACUCGGGCCCUAGUGACAAGCAUUAUGCAUACAAAGUCAUAGCAACAUCAAUCUCACAACAUAGUGGAUACUAGGGAUCAAACCCUAACAAAACUAACUCGAUUACACAAUAAAUCUCAUCCAACCCAUCAUCGUCCAGCAAGCCUACGAUGGAAUUACUCACGCACGGCGGUGAGCAUCAUGAAAUUGGGGAUGGAGGAAGGUUGGUGAUGAUGAUGGCGACGAUUUCCCCUCUCCGGAGCCCCGAACAGACUCCAGAUCUGCCCUCCCGAUGAAGAACAGGGGCGACGGCGGCUCCGUAUCGUAAAACGCGAUGAAUCCUUCUAUCUGAUUUUUUUAUCUCCGAACGUGAAUAUAUAGUGUUGGAGUUGAGGUCGGUGGAGGUCCAGGUGACCCACAAGGCAGGGGGCGCUCCCCCACCAUUGUGUAGAGCUGGUGGGUCCCCCCUGGUAGAUUCUUUCGCCAAUAUUUUUUAUUUAUUCCAAAAAUAUUCUCCGUGAAUUUUCAGGUCAUUCCGAAAACUUUUAUUUUUGCACAAAAAUAAUACCAAAGCAAUUCUGUUGAAAACAACGUCAGUCUGGGUUAGUUCCAUUCAAAUCAUGCAAAUUAGAGUGCAAAAUAAGGGCAAAAGAGUUUGGAAAAGUAGAUACGAUGGAGACGUAUCAACUCCCCCAAGCUUAACCCAUUGCUUGUCCUCAAGAUCAAGUUGACAAACUAAAAGUGAUAAAAAAACUUUUACAAACUCUGUUUCAUCUUGUUGUUGCAAAUAUGUAAAGCCAGCAUUCAGGUUUUCAGCAAAGACUAUGAACUAACCAUAUUCACAAUCACAUUUAGGUCUCACAUUUACUCAUAUCAAUAGCAUAAUCAACUAGCGAGCAAUACACUACAGGAAUCAGGCACUUUGUCGUCUGCCAUGGCUGACGGCAAAGGCAUGCCUGGCGGACGGCAAAGGCCUUUGCCGUCAGCCAGCAGUCGGCAACAGGUCCGACUGAAUAAGCUACUGCAAAGGGCACUUUGCCGUCUUCUGGCAGACGGCAAAGAUGCAAAGGUCUUUGUCGUCUGCCAGCAGACGGCAAAGAUCCUGGACGGCACACGUGGCAGCUUAGGUCCGUUAGGGGGUUAACGGCGUGCUUUGCCGUCUGCCAGCAGACGGCAAAGACCUUUGCGUCUUUGCCGUUUGCUAGCAGAUGGCAAUGUGCCAAAAUAGGCCAGCCCAGGUAGCUGCCACGUGGCAUGCUAUGCCGUCUGCUGGCAGACGGCUCUUUACCGUCUGCCAGCAGACGGCAAAGCUGCCAAAUAGGCCAGCCAGUGCACCCCAGGUUGCACAGGUAGCUGCCACGUGGCAGCUUUGCCGUCUGCCAGCAGACGGCAAAGAGCCUGCACAACCCCUGUUUUUUCUGUUUUUCUUAGAUUCAUUCAAUUUCACAGAAUUUCACAAAUAUAUAUAACUAGUUUCCGACAACAUAUAUAUAACAAGUUUCCAACAACAUACAUAUAACAAGUUUCCAACAACAAGUUAUCCAACAACAUACUCAACAUAAAAUGGUUCCAUCCAUACAUACAUAUCCCACAACAAGUUUGCAACAAUUAUCCAAAAACAUAAAAGAAGCACAAGGAGAAGAGUAGACUCCAUGAACGCAAGCUCCUCAUCUAAAGAAGAAGAAGAAUUUAUCUUCUCUUUCUUUUCUCCUCUCCUCUUCUUUAUCUUCUUCUUCUUCUAACUAAGGUAGGUAAAAAUGCCAUUUUUUAGCUAAGCUAGGUAAAAAUGAUAAGUGUGUAGGUCAUUUUAGAGCUAAACUAGGUAAAUAGCUCAUUUUGGAGCUAACCUAGGUAAAAUGGAUCAUAUUGGAGCUAACCUAGGUAAACUUGGUCAUUUUGGAGCUAACCUAGGUAAAAUGGAUCAUAUUGGAGCAAACCUAGGUAAAAUGGGUCAUUUUGGAGCUAACCUAGCUAAUUAUGCCAUUUUUGAGUUAACUAAGCAUAUUAUGCCAUUUUUGACAUAAGUAAGCUAAGUAUUGGUAUUUAUUGAGCUAACCCAGGUAACUAGACAUAUUAGAGCUAAUUUAGCAUUUUAGAGCUAACUUAGGUCAUUUUGGAGCUAACUUAGGUAAAAUUGAUCAUUUUGGAGCUAAUUAGGCUUAUUAUGUCAUUUUCGAGGAAAAUAAGCUAACUAUAUGACAUAUAUGAGGUUACCAAGAUUGUUAUGCCAUUUCAAACCUAAGUAAGCUAAUUAUGCCCAUUUUUACAUAAGUAAGCUAAGUGUAUGUCAUUAUUGAGCAAACCUAGGUAACUAAGACUAUUAGAGAUAACUUAGCAUAUUAGAGCUAACUUAGGUCAUUUCGGACGAAACAAAGCUAAGUAUAGAUCAUUUUGGAGCUAAGUAAGCUAAUUAUGUCAUUUUGGAGGAAGAUAAGCUAAGUCUAGGUCAUUAUGGUAAGCAUUUUGGAGGAAAUAAAGCUAAGUCUAGGUCUUUAUGCAUUUUGUAAGCAAAACACUAGAGAAAACUUACCGUCAUCAUGGAGGUGAAGGAUCUUCACUCCUCCUUCUUCUCUUUCUCCUUCAUCAUCCUGAUGUGCUUAGAGCGGCGAGGCAAUGGGAUGUACUCUUCUACCACAAUUGGCAUGGUCCUGUCGCCCAGCUAUGGGAUCGCCGGCGCCACCACCAUCGCGAGGUCAUUGUCAGGCACCACCACCAUCGCGAGGCCAUCUUCAGGCACCACCAUCGCUAGGUCAUCGUCAGCCACCACCAUCGCUUGCCCAUCGUCAGCCACCACCAUCGCUUGCCCAUCGUCAGCCACCACCGUCGCGAGGUCAUCGUCAGAAAGAAUAGGAUGCACCUCCUCAUCCCCACUCUGCUCCUCUUCUUCCCCACUCCGUUCCUCCGGAUCCUCUAUGCUACUUUUGCUGUAGCGAGAGUCGCUAUUGCUUUUGCUGUAGCCAGAGUCGCUACUGCUUUUGCUGUAGCCAGAGUCGCUGCUGCUGCUCCCGUUGCCUAACCAAAUCUAACAAAGUUUUUUUAACAAUCGGUGUGAGACAAAGUCAAAUGGAGAGGAAGAAGAGGCAGAGCAUACUGGCAUCGUCGUCGUCCUGGUAGCGCAUGCGGCACAUAGUCGUGUUGAACACCUUCAUGGUGAGCAUGGUCUUGUCGUCGUACCUGAGGACAAGGAAGUACCCGUGUCGCAGGUCGUAGGCACGGACGAACUGCUCCCAGCCACGACACAGGUACAUGUGGUGGUCGGUGUCGAACACCACCUCCACAUCCCACAGCCUGCAAAGCCCGCUGUCGGCCUGUCGCAGCUUCACAUUCUGUGGCCGACGGCCGUCCAACAUCUUCAUAAAAGUGUCAGGCAGCCUCUGCAGCAUGGGUCAAGCAGUGAUGUAGCAAACAACAGAGUUAUGAUAAAGAGAUGGGUGAAGGGGAGAUCCCUCCUUUUAUAUACCUGCCUGCUGGAGGAAUUCUCAAGUAUGAUCGUGAAGAACUCGAAACCUUCCAAGUCGGACUCCGGCGUGGCAGAGCGCAGCCGGCGGUGGCGGCCUCUCCCCAUCUCUGAUAAGCAGUAUAAGAGACCACUUACUACCCUUACAACAUUACCAUACAACAUUGCAACAACAGAAGUUUUGAGCAGAAGAAAAUCAACUACACCAAGUUAUCAUUUCACAUUCAAAAAGCAAUGCACUUGUGGACAUUUAUGAUGGCAAGAACUAUAAUUCAAAAAGCAAAGCAAGAUAAACAAGCACUUAGUUAGAUGUGUUUGUCAGGGCCUCAAUUUGGAAUACUACUAUAAAUGGCAAUGGCCUCAAUUUGCUACUACUCUAUCUUGGCAAUGAGUAGAAGAAGAACAUCAACAUCAACAUCAACAACACCCUUAGAAUAACAUCAACAUCAACAACACCCUUGAAUAGUAGUAAGAAAACAUGGACAUUUAUGAUGGCAAAAACAUCAGCAACACUUUGUUUUCUACUUCUACUCAUUCCAGGGCCUCAACAGCAGAUAAGAAACCUAAUCUAUCUACUUUACCUAAUUUGAACCAUAUCAUAUUUUGCUACUACCUACUUCCCUUUUGUCAGAUCUCUAUUUAAAGCAUCCACCAAGUACUAAACCUAAGACUCUAGUUUUAAAGCAUGCACCAAGUACUGAACCUAGUUUUAAAGCAUGGUUCACUUCAUAAAAUAGAAAGGGAAACAAUCAGUACAGAGCAUAGUAAUCUAACAAAGUACCCUAAAUAUUGCAUCCACCUAAAAUUGAACCUAAGACUGAACCCAGCACUUAAGAACUGAACCUAAGACUGAAGAAAUUGAAAAACAGAGCAUAGUAAUCUAACAAAGUACCCUAAUCAAUAUUGCAUCCACCAAAAACAAUAUGCCUAAUACUAGAACAACUAGAACAAUAUUGCCCGGCUUAUUCCCUCGCUCGAGACAAGUUACGGGAAUAAGGCAGAUUAUCUGGAAUGGUGAUUGACGAAGAACAUGAAAACAACGAUGUCGCAACUAAACCCAACCACACUAAAGAGGGGUUAUGACCGACUUAUUAUAUCUGUCGCAUCUCCAGCGGCAGCGGCAGCGCCAACUACACUUGGUUUAGUUGCGACAACUGUGGAAAUAAGCUUCUCCCAGCGACAGUAGACUUUAGUUCUUCUUUUCUUCUUUUUCUGUUUUGUUUAUUCUUCUUCUUCUUUUUUCUAUGUUUUCUCCUCCUAGUCCUUUUAGAUCUUCUCUCUUUCUUUUCUUUUCUUGUUCUUGGGCUUAUCUAACUAAGUAAUUAACCUCCCUUUUUGCUGUCUGCCCUUUUCUUUUCUUGUUCUUGGGCUGAUAGGUUGGCUAUUCUCUUUGCUGUCUGCUCGUGGACGGCAAAGAAGCUUUGCCGUAUGCUAGCAGAUGGAAAAGAAAGUGGUCGUUAGGUGGUUCUCGUUAGUGGGCCACCCUCCCUUUUUGCCGUCUGCUAGCAUACGGCAAAGCUUCUAUGCCGUCUGCUAGCAGAAGGCAAAGAACUAGCUGACAGCAAACAUGGCCUUUGCCGCCAGCUUUUUUUAAGCUUAUGGCAAAGACCUUCUUUUUCGUCAGCUAGCAGACGGCAAAGAGCUGGCUGCCGGCAAAGAUCUUCUUUCCAGUAGUGAUAAUAAUAAAUCUCAGAUGACAACACUUUUUCAAAACAAUCAUGAUAUGAUAUAACAAAAUGGUAUCUCGCUAGCCCUUUCUGAGACCGCAAAACAUGAAUGCAGAGCACCCCCGAAGAUCAACGACUGACUAGACAUUGUAAUUCAUGAUAAAAGAGAUCCAGUCACAGUCAUACUCAAUAUCAAUUAAUAACAAAGCAUACAAAUGACAGUAAUGUUGUCUAACUGGUGUUUUUUAUAAGAGGAUGAUGACUCAGCAAUAAAAGUAAAUAGAUAAGCCCUUCACAGAGGGAGGCAGGGAUUUGCAAAGGUGCCAGAGCUCGAGCUUUAAAACAGAGAUGAAUAUAAUUUUGAGCGGUAUGCUUUCAUUGUCAACAUAUAACAACCAAGAGAUCUCGGUAUCUUCCAUGCUAGAUACAUUAUAGGCUGUUCCCAAACAUAAUAGUAAAGGUUUUACUCCCCCUCCACCAAAAAGCACACUCCACGGCUAGUCCGAAACAACGGGUACGGUCCAUACCAACAACAUUCCUGGGGGAGUUUUGUUUGAAGUUAUAUUUUGAUUUGAUUUCGAGCAUGGAACUGGGCAUCCCAAUUACCAGCCACUUUCUCGUGAAUGACAAGUGAAUCAACACUCAUCGUGAGAAUAACCCACCUAGCAUGGAAGAUACUGACAGCCCCCAAUCGCUACAUGAGCGAUUCGGGCAUACAAAACAUAAUAUUAUUUGAAGGUUUAGAGUUUGGCACAUGCAAAUUUACUUGGAACGGCAGGUAAAUACCGCAUAUAGGUAGGUAUGGUGGACUCAUAUGGAACAACUUUGGGUUUAUGGAAGUGGAUGCACAAGCAGUAUUCCCGCUUAGUACAAGUGAAUGCUAGCCAAAGAUUGAGGAGCGACCAACUAGAGAGCGACAACAGUCAUAAACAUGCAUUGAGAUUAACCAACAUUGAGUGCAAGCAUGAGUAGGAUAUAAAUCACCAUGAACAUAAAUAUCACUACAAAAAAAGACACAUCCGUGACAUUUUGGGCCGAACGAAUUUUUUUUCUGUCAUGCUUAUGACACUUCUAUGACGAUAAUUGUGACAAAACCCGGUAUCAUCAUAGAUGUGGUGGGCUCCUACUUCUAUGACAAAAAAUCAUGACAAAAAAUGGGCUUUUCGUCCUGGGCGGGCCGGAGACGCAGCUGCAUGACAUUCUUUGGGACGUUCAUGAAGAAAAAAAACCGUGGUAGUAGCGAGGGCGAGGAAAAUAUCGGGGAGUUCCUGGUUACGGUGGGUGGUCGGGGGCCGAGCGAUGCGCGUUUCUCUCGUACACGUACGCACGUGGGUGCGAGGCGUUGGGCUCUAACUGAACCCGAGUGGGGCGUUCGCCUACUGAACCCGAGCGAUUGCACUGCAGGCUACGCGUUACUGAACCCGAGUGAUCGAUCGAUGGCUGUUAACUGAACCCUAUCGAGUGAUUCCUUCGUUCGCUACUUCUGCUAACUAAAGCCGAUCAAACCUGCUGCCUCCUUCCCUUGAUGAACAGUGAGCGUUGUUGGGGGGUUGGAUGAACAGUUCCCGGUGGGGGGUUGGAUGAACAGGACCCCGUGGUGUUGCCGCUGGAUGAACAGGACCCCGAUCGAUCGAGCCGAUUGGGCGUGGAUGAACAAGACCCCGUGGAGGGUUGGAUGAACAGGACCCCAUGGAGGGAAGGUUGAACAGUAGCCAGUGGAGGGCUGGUUGAAUAGUAGCCAGUGGAGGGCUGGAUGAACAGUAGCUCGUGGAGGGGUGGUUGAACAGGACCCCGUGGAGAGGGCUGGUUGAACAGUAGCCGGUGGAGGAGCUGUGGAGGUUGGAUGAACAGGAGCCCGUGGAUGAACAGUCGCAGCUGGAGGCUGGAGGAGGUCGAUGGUGGAGAUGAAUAGUAGCCCGUGGAGGCAGUCGACGGUGGAGAUUAACAGUAUCUCGUGGAGUCCCGUUUUGCGGUACGCCACACCCCUCCCGAUGAACAGGCCCCCGUUUCGGCCGUAGCGCUCCAACACAAGCCUGUUUCCUCCGUUUUGCGGUACGCCAUACCCCUCCCGAUCAAAAGGAUCCCGUUUCGACCGUAGGAGGUCCAAGAGAAGUCCAUUUCCUCCGCUUUGCGGUACGCCAGACCCCUCUCGAUGAACAGGAUCCCGUUUCGACCGUAGUCGGUUGAACACAAGGCCGUUUCCUCCGUUCUGCGAUACGCCAGGCCUCGUUUUGAUUGGCUGUUCCAUCCAAGCCGAUUGGCUCCCGAUGAACAUGACGUAUUCCGACCCAGUCGGUUGCCACCAGAUGAACAGGACAUUGUUUCUCCGUUCCGAUCCAGCCGGUUCGCUACCCGAUGAACAGGACACCGUUGUUGCCGUUCGUUGCCUCUCCAUGUACACAAGCCCUGGCCAUCCGUAUAUAUAUAUGCGCGAGUACGCGCUCGAGACCCCGCCCGUAUGUACGUACGUGGCCGUAUUUUUUGCCCUGUGGUUAUACAUACGUGUACAGGACUUAGACAGGACUGCGUGAACUGCUAUGUCGAGUGCUCUACAACGACACGUGUCGCUACUUACUCGGCCAUGGUUAAUACUUGCAAAGAGACCGAUCGACCAGUAUGUACGUACACGUUCGCGACCAGACAGACAACGGUACGUACGCUUUGACCGGGGUGGUCCCAGCGGUCAGGGAGGAUAAGGACGCACUUCCUUGCGUGCGAAGAUAUAGCUGCUCGGUCCUAGCUGUCACGGGGAGGAAUAUUUUUAUUUCGCGACUAAUAAGGAGGCACUUCCUUGUGUUCGAAGAUGUAGAUGGUGGGUCCAGCUGUCAGCCUCACCACCUAAAGUCCUCUUCCGAUGGCUGUCCUUCGUUGACCACGUUGACCACGCCGCGCCGAGAGCACCAAGGCGGUGGAAGACGGUGAGGCCUAGGAAGGGAACGACGCGGAGCCGGGGAAGACGCGGGAGUACAUGGGUUGACUACUUCGGCUGCGGUGUGAGGCUGUCGUCGCCGGAGAAUAACAUGCGGUGUGGGUGAGUAUAGAGGGAUGACAUGGCCAACGGUGGCAGCAUAGCCGGACACGGGAGGCAGGAGCAGGCGGCACGACCGGCGUAGGUUUGGGCGGCUGGAGCAAGAAGACCAGAGGUUGAAGAAACACGACGGUCGUUGGAUGGACAUCGUACGGUCACUGCAGCUAGAAUCGUUUAUAUUGACUAAGUUGACAAAGCCCUUGGUACGCGUCAACUUAGUAGGCCCACAGGUCAGCCUCCGAAACGGUGUUCCCCAGAUGUCAGGGGGAGGGAUCAUUUUUUUGGCGGCUGAAGCAAGAAUAUCCGAGAUUGAAGAAGAAGCACGACAUCCGUUGGAUGGACAUCCAACAGCCACUACUGCUAGAACCGUGUGUCGACUAUAAGUUGAUAAAGCCUUGCAUACGCGUCAACUUAGUUUUUUAGGGGACACGUCAACUUAGAAGGCCCACAAGUGUGUGGCAGUGAACAUAUAGCCCAUUUGCAAUUUGUAAGAAUGUACAACCCAUUUUUGAAUUCUAAUGGAAUUUACUAUAGCCCAUUUACAGUUUGUUAAAAGUACAGCCCAUUUUCUAGCUAGGACAACGAUUAAUAAUUUCAACCAACCGCUCAAAGAAGAAUUCAAUAAAAUUUCCCACAUUUUGAUGGGAUCCGAAAUAUUUUUAUCCCGAAAUUUCUAGUCAGAUUAAAUAUAAUUUCAAAAUAAAGUUGUAUUACGUAAAAAUCCAACGAAAUAUUGCGCGCGCAAUAAGUAAUGAAAUUAAAAUUUUGAAAUUCCAAAAAUAAUAUAUUUUUAAACUAAUUACCCAUUUGGUGCAUUUUUUUAUAGUUACUACCCAGUUAUUAUAAUUACAUCCCAUUUAUUAUUUCUUAAAGCCCAUUUUCUUGUUAAGCCUAGUGCAUCCCUCCUAGGAAAGAUUUGCAGCCCAGCGGGGCGGAGAAUAACAAGUUGACCCGGAUAUUGUGUACAACUGUCGGCCCAGUUGCAUUGCUGAUGUUGAAAAAAAGGCCUGUGUAGUACAGUACAACCUUACAUGGCUACUCAGCCAACAUUCAGCGACGCCGGGAAGGCCCAAACAAGGCUUCUGUACAACUUUUUGAAGUCACUGAGCUCAAUUAAUAACUUAAGAAAAAAGUUAGAGUACAGUGGAACCUAAUUAAAAGCUGUCAUGAGCAAAGAAAUAAUUCAAUGGGUCCCACUUGUGCGUGUGUGCGUGUGUGUGUGUGUGAGAGAGAGACCCAUCGGUCGAUGCUCGUAAAUACAUCCACUACUGCAGGAUGCUGCUAACACGACACUACGAUCAGAGACCCUUUGAGAAACUGUGUGCGAUGCAAUAAUCGCAAACGGUGGUGUAUGAAAACCAUCAAAAAGGUGAAAAAGUUUGCGAUGGAGGAUGCAUCAAACACAGUUCAGAUUUUAGUUGCGUGUGCGAUGAAGGGCAUACGGUUCAGUUCAAUUAACUGUUUGCGGUGCGGAGGAACAAAAGAAACGGGCAGCCAGAUGAAGGCGUGUGCGAUACACAACAUACAGUUCACUCGGAUGAACUUUUUGUGAUUAUGCAACACAAAAGAAACGGGUAGCCAGAUGAAGGUGUGUGCAAUAUACAGCAUACGAUUCACUCGCAUGAACUGUUUGUGAUUAGGCAACACAAAAGAAACGGUUAGCCAGAUCAAGGUGUGUGCGAUAUACGGCAUGCGGUUCACUCGGAUGAACUGUUUGCGUUGACACAAGAGAACAAAAAUGGUUCAACUUAACAAGACGUGUGUGUUGUGCGAUGGGAUUGCAUGCGGUUCACUCGGCCCUUGUCGUAAGUGUGUGACCUCUGUGGCAACUGUUCGCUCCCCAGGCGCCUCUUCGUGUACCCUGGCAACCGUUCACCGACUCUUCGCCUUUCCCUCUCGAUUUGGAACUGCUGUCGCACGCUAGCUCUUCCUCCCUCCUUAAUUUGCCUUCACCCUUCCUUCUGUCAUUGUUUGAUCGUCUUCUCCAUUGAGGGAACAAGCCGGAAACGACCCCGUUAUUUUUGCUCCGAUCUGAAUGAUGACGCGGUGGAGGUACUCAUUGAUCGGUGCGACGUCAUCACCUCGGCUAGCAUGGCAGGUUCGUUCAAGACCAUUCUCAAGUCAACUAAUAACAUCAUUACCAGGAACCCAAGGGUCCAGGAGCGGUUUGAUCUCCCCUAUCUUCUUCGCCGUGACCCUGCUGACUGGCGCGGAGACAAGGGAAGCCUCGCCUUGUGUAAGUUGAUGCUGCUUGAUAAUGAUACGUAUGAUGUUAAGAUGCCAUCGCUUGAGGGCAAGGCUUGGGCAGGCGCAAAUGGAGAUUGGGUACAACUGCGAGUGAGAACUAGUGAAUGUGUACACUCAUCACCGGGUUCCACUUCGAAAAAUCUCAGAUGACUGCCCAGAGGUUGAGUACACCAGUAUUCUACAUGAGUUCAAAUACGAUCAUGCUGACUGUCGUCUACGGAAGAUAGCAAUUUGUCGAGUUCCCAACCGCUCUUGGGGUUAUAGGAAUGCUUAUGUUGUCGCUAUCUUGGACAACCUUGUUGCCGUCCUUCAUGGUUCGACUCGAUGGUAUUGCUCAAAAAUCAGUUUCUAUACACGGAUGAGUACUGUGAUGCAAUUCAAUAUGAGGGUCUUGUGUUUGCUGCCACCACUCGUGGCACUGUUUUUGCAUGGAAUCCUUCUGAUUUCGGUACGUUUGUGUAACAUUCCAAUUUUUUUCAAUUUGGAAUGUUAUACAUAGGUCAUCAUAUGCAUAUCAUAUUUUAUUUGCAUUUCGUUUGCGAUCCAAGAAAUUCUAAGCAACUCAAUGACCCACGGAGAGAGUUAGGGAUUUCAUUCAUUUUCAUAUUUGAAUUUUCUCAAAUAUUGAAAAGAGGAUCAUUUUGGUUUUAAUUAUUUUUCUCUCCAAAUAAUAUUUCCCAUAAUAAAAAUAAAAGAGAGGAGAUAAUAUGACUUCUCCAAAAUAAAAGAAAUAUUGAAGGAAAAAUAUUAAAAUCAAAUAAAUUAUUUUAUUUGGAUUUUAUUGCUAUUUUAUUUGAAUUAGAAAAAACAUGCAGUUUUCAAAAUUGCAUUUUUAGGCCAAGAAAAUGUUCACUAUGUUCUAAAUAUCUUAUUUAGACGGUGAAAAUUGUUUUUGGUAUUUUUAGAAUUUUUUUAUAUAUUUCUUUAGGAUUUUUCUUUCGGUGGAAUUAUUUAAAAAAAAAAGCUUCCCGGACUGCACUGGGCCGAAGGCCCAGCCGGCCCACUCGCGCCGCCGCCUCCCGCACCGGCUCGGGACCGGACUCCUGCGCCGCCGCCGCCAUGUCCGAGCGGGGCACGCCUCCCGAGGCCGGCCCCUCCCCANNNNNNNNNNNNNNNNNNNNNNNNNNNNNNNNNNNNNNNNNNNNNNNNNNNNNNNNNNNNNNNNNNNNNNNNNNNNNNNNNNNNNNNNNNNNNNNNNNNNNNNNNNNNNNNNNNNNNNNNNNNNNNNNNNNNNNNNNNNNNNNNNNNNNNNNNNNNNNNNNNNNNNNNNNNNNNNNNNNNNNNNNNNNNNNNNNNNNNNNNNNNNNNNNNNNNNNNNNNNNNNNNNNNNNNNNNNNNNNNNNNNNNNNNNNNNNNNNNNNNNNNNNNNNNNNNNNNNNNNNNNNNNNNNNNNNNNNNNNNNNNNNNNNNNNNNNNNNNNNNNNNNNNNNNNNNNNNNNNNNNNNNNNNNNNNNNNNNNNNNNNNNNNNNNNNNNNNNNNNNNNNNNNNNNNNNNNNNNNNNNNNNNNNNNNNNNNNNNNNNNNNNNNNNNNNNNNNNNNNNNNNNNNNNNNNNNNNNNNNNNNNNNCCGCCCGCAGCCCCGUGCCGCUCGCCGGAGCCGCUCGCCGCCCGCCGGAUCGCGCCGUCCCACCACCGCCGUUGACCCCUCGUCGCCGCCGGUCUUUUUUUGGUUUUAGGUAUAAAACCACCGGUUUUGUUUAAAACCCUAGAAUGGUUUUUUUAGAUCGGUUCGGUUUUUCCUCGGUUUUCUUCGGUUUAGCCUUUUCCACGAACGUUCGUUCGUUCGUUUUAACGAACGAAUCCGUUCGUUAGUCUCUGCUAGCGGACGUUCGUCCGAUAGAUUUUUCUUUUUCUUUUUUAUUUUCGCCAGGGACCUAUCCGCGAUUAUCAUUAUCGCAAAUUAGCCCCUGAUCUUCAGACCCUCGUAACUUUUUAACCGUUUGUCCAAAUCCAGUGAAACCAACGCCAAAAUCUUCGUCUCGAACCCCUCUUUCUGUUUAAAUAACUUGAACAUGGUUUUGAGAAUUUAAAAUUUGGUUUCAAGCAUAUUUGAAUUCGAAGCUCUUUUGAUCGUAGUUUCAGUUCCUUAGCUCUGAUUGAUUGAUUCUUUUUGCAAAUCGAAGCUCUUCAGUGGAGUUUUCAGAUUUGAUCUUCUUAUUUGAGUUUUACCCUUGCAUCUAUGCUGGAGUGCUUAUGUAUGCUAUUGUUUGUUUGCGAUAGAGUUCUCACAGUGUGAAGCGUGCUACUACGAGUCUCUAGGGUUUGCGGAUCGUCAGCAAGGCAAGUAACACAUUGAUCAUACUCUUUUCAUACCAAGUUUUUAUGCAUUAGUUACAAUCCUCAAACACUGCAUGAUUAGGUUGUGAUUAACUUGUGGGAUCUGGGAAGUAGAUGAUGAGGUAGAACCUAUUGCCUUUUUAUUAUCAAACCCUGGGAGUUACUCUACGUUAUGCUCUCGUUGCUAUGUUAUGCUCGUAGACGUGGAUUGGGUUUAAGUGUAUCCAUGACAGAUGUGAGAUUAUUAAUUAAUGGUUAACUUAAGGUGGCUACUUAAAUACACAUCUGGGUGGAUUGGUUGCGGGCACCUGGGGAUAUACCAGUGCUGUCCUUUUUGGUUCGCCACCCAGGCUCAAAGGGAUCAUAAGAUUAUUCAUGCUAGAAACUUUCGUGUGCAGCCACAAGCUAUUAUGGGCUCUAGCAUAGUUGAGUAGGUUGCAUGACCUCUUUCAGUGGUGGGCUAGUAGAUGUAGGGGAAAGUAGGUGUAACUGUCCACCCAGAAUAAAGAGUUAAUGCUUCUGAAAGACUGUGUCUCGGUCAUCCGUUUCUCAAACGCCAUGUAGUGCGAGAAAUCCAACAGAGGAGAUCGAGUCUUGUGGGAAAAAGUGCGCAAACCUAUGCAUAGUGUAUAAACUAAUCAUGGUUAGCCGUGUCCCCGAUUAUGGACAUCUUGAGUAUCUGGUACUUGAAUUACUGAUUUGAUCUCAUCACUCUAUAAUUUGUUGGGUUGUUAAUUACUUCUUAAUUGGGAUUGAGAUGGGGAUUUACCUUUUCAAUGUUUUCAACCACCACGAUAGUUAAAUAAAAUUUAUUCCUUUGUUGUAGGGAAAAAUUGGCUUUUCGCAAAACAUUAUAACCAUAGAGCUUCCACCAGCCAUAUAUGCAUGUAGUGAUGGCAUUUACCUGUUCAUUGCUCUAUUGUGUUAUAUUGCCAGCAUAUUCCAUGUGCUGACCCGUUUCCGGGCUGCAACAUAUCAUGUUGCAGACUUUUCAGACGAACAGUAAGGUGCGUUAGGUCGUUUGUCGUGCACUCAGCUAUGCCGUUGGAGUUGAUGGACUCACUUUAUCUUCCAAGCCUUCCGCUGUUAUCUUAUUUAGAUGGCCUGUAAUAAGUUCUCUUUUGAGACAUUCGAUUUAAUAAGGGUGUGAUUGCACUCUGUUAUAAAUCCUUCAAGUACUAUGUGUGUCAGCAUUACCGAUCCAGGGAUGACACUUGUACACAGAGAUUUGACCGCCUGAGGUCAGAUCGCUACAGUUUGUCUUCCACCAUAAUUAUAAUUGUUUCAUCCACAUGCAUGCGGGUUAGCUAGUUUCCCUUUACUAAUUAACCUUCUUGUGUUUCCAAGGUCCUGUGAACAUUCCACCACCUAUACUUGAAAAUUUUAUUCACGAGCAUGAGGACGAGCAGGACCCAUAUACUCAGUGGCGCCUGGCAACUUAUUCCGAUGGAUCACCUCUUCUUGUCUGUAUACGGGGCACUGCUGAUGUUGCUAAGGAAGCAGGUGUUGUCUCGUAGGGUCGCACUCUCCGGACCUAUUCCAACAUCCGUUGCAGGGUAUUCGGGAUGGAUACUAGUGUACUAGCGCCAACACCUUCUCCUUGGUUCAGUAUUGAAAGUCUUGGAGGAAACUCGCUCUUCCUUGCACAAAACUAUCCAAUGAUGGUGGAAGGCGAUCCAGCUGCUGUUGACACAACGUUACUACCAUUUAUGAGAAGCAACUGUAUAUAUACCUCGGACAUUACUAUGCUUCCCUACUGUCCCAAUAUGGGUCCUGACAUAGGCCGCUUCAGCCUCGAUGAUCAGUCCUGCGUUGGUCUCGAGAUUGAAAGUAGAUGGCCCUUCCCAGAGAAUCACUUCUAGUUCAAAGCAAGCGUUUCCAACGCCGACGAGUAUUUGAUCUGAAGUUCAUUUCAUCGCUUUGUUAUUUGUUGUGUGAGAAAAACUUUACUAGAAUGUUUUGUUGGAAAUGAUCUAUAAUCCAACGUGUAUCCUCAUUGUCGUUGUGGGUUGAUGACUUGUUGUAUGUAAUCAAUGGUACAUUUGCAUAUGCGUCCAUGAACUCACGCCUGCUAGUGGUGUCCAUAUGAACAGUGCUAGUGAUUUUAGUUGCAAAAAUUAGAUAGUGCUAGUGAUUUGUAGCUGCAUAUUUUGACAAAUCGCAGUGUUACAAGGUUGACAAAUGGCAAUGUUACUAGAUAAACAAAUGUCAAUCUUUCCAGUUUGAGAAAUGGCAACAUACCCAAAAUGACAGAUAUGCAAAUCUUACCCAAUUGUUUGUACGUGGUUGCACACGGGUCAUGCAAAACAACCGUUUGCCUUGAAGGGAUGCAGAAAUCCUGCUCGGCACAUUUUCCCUUGGCUUCCUGGGGAAGCUGUCGGUUUGCAUACGGGUGUUCUAACUAAAACGUUUGCGAUGAGUGUUUUAUAUUUAAAAACCGUUGAUGUUUUUUAAAAGAAAAUCAUUUGAUAAGUCUGUACAUUAAGAGAGAAAAACACAAGUUUGUUCAAACCAUAUCUUUCAUUCAGUCACACUGCGAAUUUACAUUCAUAUGAUCGAGAAUUCGAGAUACAGUAUUAAACCCCAAAAAAAUAUUUCCGGCGGCGGCGGAGGCGGCGUGCCGCGCCGUCGUUGUCAUUGUCGUACUCCGGGACGCCGUUGUUGAAGUCUUCAAGGCAGCACAAAAUGUUCUUCACAUGUAAAUCAAACAUCAUGUCGUCGCGCGAUCGACGGGCAGGGCAUGGGAGGACGGCAACUGGCGCCAUUGAGAGGUAGCGGUCGACAGCAACGUCCCAUGCCGCUGAGGGGGGCGCACGGGCAUGGGCACGGGCGCGGCGGGUGCAGCCAAAUGCACGGGGACCGGCGCCGCGGUGGGUGGAGGGGCGCACACGGGCGCGGCGGGUACAGCCAAACGCACGGGGGCCGGCGCCACGGUGGGUGGAGGGGCGCGCACGGGCACGGGCGCUGGCACUGGCAUGUACACGAGCUCGUGCGGGUCCGCGGAGACCUCGCUGACGCCCGCGGCUUCUAGCUCGCCGAUAGUGCUCGGCGACCAGCCCAUCAAUGCUACGGGGAUGGUCGCUGGCACGGUCGCGGGGAUGGGAGCUGGGACGGAAGCGGGGGCAGCAACCGCCGCGGCCAGCUCGUUCUGGGCCAUGUCCAUGAGGCCCCAUUCCUCCUUAUUUUCUAUCUCCUCCGGCUUGGAGUCAACUUCACCAAACUUGAAGACUAGUGGCAGAUGAUCAUUCUGCGCCAUGGCGGUGGAGGUCUGCGGGGGGGAGGGGAAUGGGAGGCGAACAGUAAGGCCGCCCGUAUUAAACAGCGGCUCGGGCGCCAUUAACGGAGAGGAAGGCGGGCGGCCAUGGAAGUCAAAGGGCUCGCUUCCCAGUGAGCCUGCACAGCGUACAGCUCGCACGCUUCCCGGUGAGCCUACGCAUUGGAGGACAGCUUGCACACCUCUCGGUCAGACUGCGCUCGCACGCCUCCCGUUCAGUCAAGGUCAAGCAGCUGUCCGCACGACACCUCCUACAACCAUUAAAACCAAGACACGUGGCAUCACGUGAAUGGUUAACAGAACGCACAUGUUUUGAAUUAUACAAACGUUUGAGAUAUUAAAGUGGCAGCUAUUUUUUCAAAAUGCCUUUGCUGGCUAUCAUUAUUUGAGUGCGCCUUCUCUCAAAAUGGACACGAAAAAUACCACAUCAUGUCGGGUGCCAUUCCAUGAUAGCAUGCCAAGUUUCAUGAAUUUCAGACGAGUUUUGGAUUUACUAGAAUUUAAAAACCAGGCAUCUCAAUGUUUUGUCGGCAAUCAACGGUGCCUUGGUGUUUGAAAUUAAUUCCGAUUUGUUGCAUGGGACCUAAGCAUGCACCCAAGGACACAGAUUUGAUUUUUCAACCAAUAUAUAUGCACUGGAGCAUGUGCAUGUAGUUCAAAUUUGAAUUAUGCACAUAAAUGCAUUGAAAACUCAGUUAAUGCAUAAAAAUGUCCAAAAGAACCCCGAACUAUCACAAAAAUUGACACAACACUCCUGUUGUUCUAUGUUGACACGAGAAACAUUUUGGAAGCAAUAAGAGGCAGUGGAUAUCGUUUCGUCCCCAAAGGUCGGACGUUCCCUACCGAAACCAUGAUGCUUGUUGUGAGAAGCUCUUGUUUGUGAGAAGCAUAUACCCAAACCUGCCCCAAACGGGACAAAAAAUUUACCACGACAUGUUGAUGCCGCUCCAUGAAAGCAUGCCAAGUUUCUUGAAUUUCAGACGAGUUUUUGAUUUACUAGAAUUUAAAAACCAGGCAUCUCAAUGUUUUGCCGGCAAUCAACGGUGCCCUGGUGCUUGAAAUUCGUUUCCAUUUCUUGCAUGGGACCUAAGCAUGCACCCAAGGACACAGAUUUGAUUUUUCAACCAAUUUAUAUGCACUGGAGCAUGUGCAUGUAGUUCAAAUUUGAAUUAUGCACAUAAAAUGCAUAGAAAACCCAGUUAAUGCAUAAAAAUGUCCAAACGAACCCCGAAAAAUCACAAAAAUUGACACAACACUCCUCUUGUUCUAUGUUGACACGAGAAAUUUUUUGAAAGCAAUAAGAGGCAAUGGAUAUCAUUUCGUCCCCAAAGGUGGGACGUUCCCUAUCGAAACCAUCAUGCUUGUUGUGAGAAGCUCUGGGUUGUGAGAAGCUUAUACCCGAACCUACCCCAAAUGGGACAAAUUUUUUACCAUGGCAUGUUGAUGCCGCUCCAUGAUAGCAUGCCAAGUUUCAUGAAUUUCAGACGAGUUUUGGAUUUACUAGAAUUUAAAAACCAAGCAUCUCAACGUUUUGCCGGCAAUCAACAGUGCCCUGGUGUUUGAAUUUCAUUCCCAUCUCUUGCAUGGGACCUAGAAAUUCACCCAAGGACACACAUGCGAUUUUUCAACCGACCUUAGUGCAUUGGAGCAUGUGCUUGUAAUUCAAAUUUGAUUUAUGCACAUAAAAUGCCUAGAAAACCCAGUUAAUGUAUAAAAAAGGCCAAACGAACCCCGAAAAAUUCCAAGAUUGAACAAAACACUCAUGUUGUUCUAUGUUGACACUAGAAUUUUUUUGAAAGCAAUAAGAGGCAAUUGAUAUCGUCCCGUCACCAAAGGUGGUACGUUCCCUAUCGAAACCAUCAUGCUUGUUGUGAGAAGCUCUGGUUUGUGAGAAGCUUAUACCCGAACUUGCCCCAAAUGGGAUAAAAUUUUCAUCACAGCAUGUUGAUGCCGCUCCAUGACAGCAUGCCAAGUUUCAUGAAUUUCAGACGAGUUUUGGAUUUACUAGAAUUUAAAAACCAGGCAUCUCAACGUUUUGCCGGCAAUCAACUGUGCCAUGAUGUUUGAAUUUCAUUCCCAUCUCUUGCAUGGGACCUAGAAAUUCACCCAAGGACACACAUGUGAAUUUUCAACCAACUUUGGUGCACUGGAGCAUGUGCUUGUAGUUCAAAUUUGAAUUAUGCACAUAAAAUGCCUAGAAAACCCAGUUAAUGUAUAAAAAAGGCCAAACAAACCCCGAAAAAUUCCAAGAUUGAACACAACACUCUUGUUGUUCUAUGUUGACACUAGAAAUUUUUUGAAAGCAAUAAGAGGCAACGGAUAUCGUCUCAUCCUCAAAGGUGGUAUGUUCCCUAUCGAAACCAUCAUGCUUGUUGUGGGAAGCCCUGGUUUGUGAGAAGCUUAUAUCCAAACCUGCCCCAACUGGGACAAAAUUUUCACCACGUCAUGUUGAUGCCGCUCCAUGAUAGCAUGCCAAGUGUCAUGAAUUUCAGACGAGUUUUGGAUUUACUAGAAUUUAAAAACCAGGUAUCUCAACGUUUUGCCGGCAAUCAACAGUGCCAUGGUGUUUGAAAUUCAUUCCCAUCUCUUGCAUGGAACCUAGAAAUUCACCCAAGGACACACAUGUGAUUUUUCAACCAACUUUAGUGCAUUAGAGCAUGUGCUUGUAGUUCAAAUUUGAAUUAUGCACAUAAAAUGCCUAGAAACCCAGUUAAUGUAUAAAAAAGGCCAAACGAACCCCAAAAAAUUCCAAGAUCGAACACAACACUCUUGUUGUUCUAUGUUGACACUAGAAAUUUUUUGAAAGCAAUAAUAGGCAACGGAUAUCGUCUCGUCCUCAAAGGUGGUACGUUCCCUAUCGAAACCAUCAUGCUUGUUUUGGGAAGCUCUGGUUUGUGAGAAGCUUAUACCCAAACCUGCCCCAAAUGGGACAAAAUUUUCACCACGUCAUGUUGAUGCCGCUCCAUGAUAGCAUGCCAAGUGUCAUGAAUUUCAGACGAGUUUUGGAUUUACUAGAAUUUAAAAACCAGGUAUCUCAACGUUUUGCCGGCAAUCAACAGUGCCAUGGUGUUUGAAAUUCAUUCCCAUCUCUUGCAUGGAACCUAGAAAUUCACCCAAGGACACACAUGUGAUUUUUCAACCAACUUUAGUGCAUUGGAGCAUGUGCUUGUAGUUCAAAUUUGAAUUAUGCACAUAAAAUGCCUAGAAAACCCAGUUAAUGUAUAAAAAAGGCCAAACGAACCCCGAAAAAUUCAUUCCCAUUUCUUCCAUGGGACCUAAGCAUGCACUGAAGGACACAGAUUUGAUUUUUCAACCAAUUUGUAUGCACCGGAGCAUGUGCAUGUAGUUUAAUUUUGAAUUGUGCACCUGAAAUGGCUAGAAAACCAUCUUAAUGUAUGAAAUGUCCAAAUGAACCCUGAAUAAUUCCAAUUCUUUUACGACACACAUACAGUUGCAUGUUCACUGCAGAUAAAAGGUCUAGCAAUUCAAACACCAUCCAUUGCCGCUGUGACCCCAUUUUGUAAUUCAAAUCAAGUAGAUCCCACACAGUUUAUUCUCACCAACCGUGUGAGAUGUAGUACAAAAUAUCUUGGAGCACCAUCGGUGUAUAGUACGCCUAUGGCUUACGCAAGAAGGUGCAUCGGCUAUAGUCCACAGCCGGCGUGUCAAGCACACUAGCUCGCUCCCCAAAACUCCUGCCUCUGCAUCCCUCGCAAUCUCGAAAAUAUCUACCGCCUGGAAGGUUUUAAUGUUUGAUAGCACACGAUUAGUAUGUCCGGACCGUGUGCGAUGUCUGUUACUCCCGCUCUGCUUCAGUCCCUUGAUUCAAAUUUUCAGUAGCCCCGACAUUUUACUCCUGCCUCUGCAUCCCUCGCAAUCUCAAAAAUAUCUGCUCGCCCUUGAUCGAAAUUUGCAGUAGCCCUGCCUUGUUACUCCCGCCUAGUAAAUUUUUCAGUUGCCGCAGUAUUUCCUCAAACACAACCUCUACUCACACAUACACACACAACCCUCAAAACAAUUGGUAGGUCGCCGCCAUCGCCGGCGCCUCCUUCCUCAACCUCUGCCUGUGUGCCGGGGAGCUCUAGUAGCCAAUGGCCAAAAAGAGGUUUAUCGCGGCCUUUUCGCCCGACGCCGGCGAGGUGGCUGCCGAGGUGUCCCCGUCAUCCUCCGCGGGCCCGAUCCGCCGUCGCUGGUCCCCCGAUCCGCCCGCCGCCGCGCCCCUACGCCAGUUUGAGGACUUCCCUGUCCUCCCCCGGACCCGGCAGCCGACGAAGUCCUACCUCGGGGUUCAGUAGCGGUGCUGGGGGACGUGGAUCGCUGAGAUUACAGAUCGAGAGACCCACACCCGCUAGUGGCUCGGUAGCUUCCACACGGUCGAGCUCGCGGCCAUGGAGUACGACCGCUGGUAGGUCCACUACCACGGCGCGGCGGCUAGGCUCAACUUCCUCUUCGGCACACGUCCGGUCCACCUCGUUCCGCCGGAGCCAGGGGUGGUGAGCUCAGCUAUGGCGCGGGAGGACCACGAGGCGUGGGAGUGUCUCAAGGCCGAGGCCGUUGACGGUGUCCUGGACUAGGGGGUACUCACCACGUCCUCUCCCGAUCUCUAGAUUGGGCCGAGGACCCCCAUGGCCGUAUACUCAUGGGCCAGUUCGGACAGUUGCCGCAUACAAGGAAGAUUCCACAAGACUUGGUGAUCAAGACAAGGACUCCUCCCCACCGGCGUAUUCGGCUAGGACUCUUGUUAUCCUAGGCCUCUGGUGCAUUAUAUAAACCAGGGCCAGGCUAGUCGAUAGAUAAUGACAACAAUCAUAAUCAUAGGCUAGCUUCUAGGGUUUAGCCUCUAUGAUCUCGUGGUAGAUCAACUCUUGUAAUACUCAUAUCAUCAAGAUCAAUCAACCAGGAAGUAGGGUAUUACCUCCAUCGAGAGGGCCCGAACCUGGGUAAACAUUGUGUCCCCCGCCUCCUGUUACCAUUAGCCUUAGACGCACAGUUCGGGACCCCCUACCCGAGAUCCGCCGGUUUUGACACCGACAUUGGUGCUUUCAUUGGGAGUUCCACUGUGUCAUCACUAUAAGGCCUGAUGGAUCCUUUAAUCAUCUGCAAUAAGGCGAUCCAGGGUGAGGUUUCCCCCUGGACAGAUCUUCGUAUUCGGCGGCUUCGCACUGCGGGCCAACUCGCUUGGCCAUCUAGAGCAGAUCGAUAGCUACGCCCCUGGCCAUCAGGUCAGGUUUGGAAGCCUGAACUACACCGCCGACAUCCGCGGAGACUUGAUCUUCGACGGAUUCGAGCCCAUGACAGGUGUGCCGAACAGUCACGAGGAGCAUGACUUAGAUCUGCCAUCGGACGGCAUUCGGGAGAUCACGCCUACGGUUGCCCCGACUCUUCAUCCGGAGUGCAUCGUGCCAUCCGAGGAGGGUGGAUGGACCCCGCCACGGAGGCCGCACACUCUGCGGCGAUAGAGCCGAACACAGACUUCGCCUCCAAUGAGUCUGUGCCAUCGGACCCUCGGACUCGUCUCCGGCCAUAGGCUCCGAACCACGUGCAUCCGUGCCUAUAGAAUCUGAUUGGGCACCGAUCAUGGAGUUCACCUCCGCGGAUAUCUUUCAGCACUCGCCCUUGGGCGACGUGCUAAAUUCAUUGAAAUCUCUCUCCCUGUCAGGAGACUCGUGGCCGAACUAUGUCCGGCUCGAGUGGGAAGCGGACGACGAAGAAAUUCAACACCUCGGCUGACAUGGCAGCUGCAACAACUCCGCACCGACCUGCUCUGUCACCUCGGCUAGACCGGGGACUUGGCUAUUUUCUUCAUCAACAUACUCCGGCGACUUCGACGUCACCAGCCGACCAGCUUCGCCACGUUAGCUGGACCGAGGGCUUUGCCUCGGCAAGCCAACCUUUGCCAGUUUUGCCAUGCCGUCGCUUUAUCGCCCAUCAGGCAAUGGGUGUGUGGAUCGAUUCCCAAUUUUGGGAGUCGCUUUUCUUUGGACUGCUACAACAAAUAAACCAGGUGCUAUUAAUCCUAACAAUUUUUGCUUGUUGGGUUUAUUUUUCUUAAGGAAUUAUUACUCUGGUUUGUUCUAUCAUCUGUACACAGGUCUAUCAAAUGGCGGCCACAUUAAAGCCGGUCGUGCGGUGGUUCGGCCGGUUUCCGUACAUAGUUCGGCGAACGCCGCAUCCGGAACCCGGAUCACCCUGCAAAUUCAGGCUUUGUCACGCCUUCACUGUGUCACGCCGACGCCCUGCAUCGACAUUGGCUUCGGCGCCAGGCCACAUCCAUUUUAUUUUACGUAAAUUAUUUAUGCAAGGAUUUUUAUAUAUUUAUAUUAUUAUUGUUGGCCUGCACUAUUUUACAUGUGCAGGUAAUGGACUUUGACUGCGUCACGUGGUCUCUUCGACGUCACUCUGCCGGCCUACAUUGGCCGUGCUAUGGCACCACUUUGGAGUGCCGAGCUCUUCGCUCCGCCACCUUGGGACCGGCUUGGGGGAUGGAACCUUGUACUGCAUCAAGCUCAGACCACGUCAUCAAUACCGAACGCAUUAACCAGCUAAGUCGCUUUCAUGCUCAAAGCUUUAAAUUUUUAACCUGCGUUCAGUUCGACCAAGCAUUAUACCUUUUUGAAAAAAGUUGUUUGUGAAAAAAUUCCUUGUCAUUACUUUGUUUGUGACACACAUACUCAAAUACCCUUUUUAUUUGGGGGCUUCCUUCAUGGAGCUUUUCUUCUUGCACAUGAUUAUACUUGUACGGCUUCGUUCCUUGUUCGUGUAUUACACCAUAAUAUGCACCAUAUUGACCUAAGCGAUUUGCAAGCUGGGUUGCCUCGCUCCUGUGUUUACCCCUACGUUCCCGAUUGUUCGGCUAGGGAGUAAAGGGAGCACCUCUGCGAUUGUCACGAUCGGGUCAUCCGAGCCGAACCUCAGACUGGGUGAAGCCGAAAGCUAGCGCUCUUACUGUUUUCAAUAAUGGUCGGCACACAGCGGAACUCAUGAGUACAAAAAAUCUAUUGCACAAGUCUCAUAGUAAUAAUGAGCAACCGAAGAAAGGUAUCGGUGGGGGUACUAUUUUCUUCGAAGAUGCUUCUUACACUUUGUCAGUAAUAUAGCAUAAGUUCCCUGAGCGCGCUUUGUCUGUUACAGCCUUAUGGCCUGAUUGCCUGGUUAUCGAAAACACUGUCGAUAUUCUCGACAGGGGGAGUACAUAACACUUUUCGGUCCUUGACCGAAGAGGGAGAAACCGAUGGUCGGUUAAGACGCGUAUAAAGUUCGGGUGAACACAUAUACGAUAUAAGUACUUCGGUACAUACAAUCAUUAUACAUAAAAUCCUUUUACCCAAGUUAAUUGGGGGCUCUAAAUUUAUACGAGCUGUUUAUAGUAAAUGUGUUUUCUUCUUGGUCGUUGCAAAGUCUUUCUCUACCGCUCCUUUUCUGACUCGAAGUCUUGAGAUUGGAUGUGUCAUGUUAAAGCACGACAGAAGCACAUUUUUUCCAAUUCUAGGAUUGGCACCGAACACUUGAUCUUGUUCGGACGUCAUGUUUUUACUGACGUUUUUUGGUUUUCCAAGCUUUUGGCACUUCUAAACUAUUUGUGCGUUUCCAGCAUAAGUCUCGCAGUGCAACGCCGGACAUCUUUAGAGAUUCGGCAAAAACAUUCUCGGAUGUUGCUAUAUAUGCAACGGUCUCGAAUUGUGUCUUCGGUCAAUAGUUGGGUUGCCCGGCUCCUGUGCUUGACUCCUAUGUUCCGCUUUGUUCGGCUAGGUGUGCAACGGGAGAACCACUGCGAUUGUGCUUCCAGCUCGCAUGGUUAAGCACCUCAGUGGAGAAAGCCGAAAACUGACUGUCACAAUAAGCGCAAACUGGUCGGCGAUCCGAUGACCGUGUUAAAUGAUGGGCCGUUCAUAACAUUGGCCGAAGUGUUUACGGCUUGACCUCAGCUGUCGCCGAACACUAACCGGGGGCUCGUAGCUAGCUUCCCCAGUUUAAAGCUCCUAUGACUAAGUGAAAGUUAUAAAGCCAAGAUAUCUGAUUGCCUCGUUUCCGCUAACACAACCGCCUCCGGGCACCGAGACGUCGGCUAAGGGUUGUCUGGUUAUUGCAGAAACACCCUGCGUAGUAUCUACAAAGGGGUAGAAGCCGACGAUGGGCCACUUUCAACUGAUAAACAGUCGCAAUGGAGUCAAAAUAAGUAUAUAUCAUCAGCAUUUGUAUUCAUUAUACAAGCACUGCCUUCCGUGAUUAUCGUUAUAAAGCUAUAAAUAUGCAUCAAUUUGACUUAAGAUUUUGGCCAAGCUAGGUUGCCUGGCUCCUGUGCUUACCCCUAUGUUCCCGAUUGUUCGGCUAGGCGGUAAAGGGAGCACCUCAGUGAUUGUUACUACCGGAUCAUCCGAGUUAGUACCUCAGACUGGGUGAAGCCGAAAGCUAGCAAUCUUAAAGGACCACAUUGGUCGGCAAUGACGGAAAUGAAAAUUUUGGUUCAUUAAUACCAUAGAGUUCGGGAACCUUCCCCGAACUAAAUCCUCAAUAUUUUCCUCCCACAUUGAUCAGAGUUGAGGUUUCAUGAUCAUGCUUAGCAUGACAACCCAAAGAAAGGAACCGAUAGCGGGACUAUUUUCUCUGGAAGAUGUUUCUUACGUUAAAAAGUAAUAUAACAUAUCUCUCCGUGUACCUUUGUUUAUAAAACCGUAUGGCUGGAUUGCCUUGUUUGCCGUAAGUCUUUGCCCUUAUAAAGGCUUUAUAAAGUAGGACAAACACUCCUCAGCUUCUGCCCGAGGAGGUGGAAGCCGAUGGUCGGUCAACGAAGUUCUGUACAAUGCGGAUCCGAGCAUUAAUGAUGUAAAGUACUUGGAUACAUAGAAUCAUUACACAUACUUUGUGAUUUUACUCUGGAUAUCGAUCCUUAAUUCGGCCACCCGUGCCCACAUUAAGGCUCGGGGGCUACUGGGCUUCGUGCUUAUCUUUUACAACUAUUAAAGGGGUACAUCGAUCCCCUGAUCUGGUGUUGCCACCCGAUCAGUGUCUCGGGGGCUACUGCAUUGCCUAUUCAAUGCAGAAAAUUCAAAGUGCUCAGUGUUUGGCUCGACCGAACGAUGCGCAAAUGCGUCUUCGAACAACAAUAGGUAUCAUCUGGACCUAUAUAGCGUCAAGCUAAUAUAUUGCGGCAACUUCUCAAGACCCUCUCUCAAGGGCCCGUUCGCCGAUCACUAUUAUCUCUAAUAUAUUACACUGCGUCUAUUUCUACGUAUGCUGCCGAGCUAGGAGUUGAUCCUCAGGCCGAUUUCGCGCAUCGACCUGAGUCUCUAGGGCUACUAGGAUCAGCGGUUUCAUGUUUUCCUUCAGGUGCAUCUCGGAUAUUAGGCCAACACGCACCUUGCGGGCUACUGGCUAUACAUCUCAUCAGAGAUUACAUUGCACAAUUCGGAAUUAAAUUCAUAAAAAUCAGCCCAUGGCCAAGGUGGUGCACCACCUCGGAAGCAGUCCGGCAUAAAGCUCGGGCACCAGUGGCUGGCUCCAUAGAGGGCAUUUCCGGUAUUAAGCUUAGCCAAACUCUUUCAACUUUUUGAACCAAGGUGAUCUAUGAAACCUCGGAUAUAAUCCGGCAUUGGAGCUCGGAUACAUUCCGGCGUUGGAGCUCGGAAGCAGUCCGGCGUUGGUGCUCGGCUGCAAAAGACACCUCAAAUGCAGUUCGGCGUUGGAGCUCGGACGCAAGAGGACACUGCCGCCCAGGAACAACUUCAAACCCGAGGUGUGGCAUAAAAAUAACAAGGCAUUGAUAAAGGCCGAGAACUUAAAGGGGCUCCUCGGAUACCCGACGUGUAAACUCUUCGGAUUUACUUUGGCGAUCCUCAAGAUCGAAGACGAGCAGAUUUGUUGAACCAGUUUUCAAGACGACGGCCGAAGAUGAAGAACAGUUCGGAAGAAUCGAGGAGCGUCCCCAACUUGAAGACCGGUUCAGGGGGCUACUGGCGGUGCCCUGGACUAGGGGGUACUCACCACGUCGUCUCCCGAUAUGUUAGAUUGGGCCGAGGACCCCCAUGGCCGUAUACUCAUGGGCCAGUUCGGACAGUUGCCGCAUACAAGGAAGAUUCCACAAGACUUGGUGAUCAAGACAAGGACUCCUCCCCACCGGCGUAUCCGGCUAGGACUCUUGUUGUCCUAGGCCUCUGGUACAUUAUAUAAACCAGGGCCAGGCUAGUCGAUAGAUAAGGACAACAAUCAUAAUCAUAGGCUAGCUUCUAGGGUUUAGCCUCUACGAUCUCGUGGUAGAUCAACUCUUGUAAUACUCAUAUCAUCAAGAUCAAUCAAGCAGGAAGUAUGGUAUUACCUCCAUCGAGAGGGCCCGAACCUGGGUAAACAUUGUCUCCCCCGCCUCCUGUUACCAUUAGCCUUAGAUGCACAGUUCGGGACCCCCUACCCGAGAUCCGCCGGUUUUGACACCGACAGCCGCCGAUGAGGCCUACAUGCAAGAGCUCCGCCGGCAGCACCCGGAGCUCGUGGAGGCGGAGCGGGCGAUCUUUGCCGGCGCAGAGGGCGGCGAGGUUAUCACGCUCUCCUUUGAUGAUGAGGUCAAAGGCGGCGAGGACGGCGGCGCGGAGGGCGGCGAGGUUAUCGCACUCUCCUCUGAUGACGAGGUCGAAGGCGGCAGCGACGGCGGCGCGGAGGGCGUCGAGGUGGGCCCCGAGGACGAGGAGAUCGACGUUGGUGAGUGGAGGAGUGCCUUCCCCAACGACCCCGACGACGGUACUGGCCCGGACCUGGCUCGCGGCACACCGUACAUGACGAGGAAGGAUUGGCUCGACCUCUACUUCGACCGAAAGUAGUUUAGCUUAGUUUAAAUUUAUGUUUUAUGUUAGGUUAUGCAAAACUAUCUAUGUUUAUGUUUGAAUGCAUGCUACUUUCGGUUGAACCUGCUUUGAACUUCAUCAAAUUGAAGUUUACAACCUUAAGUUUAGGGGAUCGAGUAGAAAAGGCAAAAUUUUGCUGGAGUAUAUAUAUAUAGACACACACACACAUAAACACUAUUCUGAUCACGGGAUCAGAAUAUUAUUCUGAUCACAACAUGAACUUCCCGAGUAACGUGCCUGACCUUCCCCGAGUACUAGGUUGAACUUCAGCUAAAAAGUGUCCAAAUGGGGCUUGCGAUAUACGGUUGGAAAGCAAUGGACACGACUAUCAUGACCCAAGUUGAAUUUUUGGCAAAAUGUAAGUGGUUUAAGAGCUGUUUUGAAAACCGUUUUUCCUUCAUACAAAAAACGUGAAUCGUAUUUUUGAUCGCAUGUCUAAACAGUUUAUUGGAAUGAGGCAAAUAAUAUGGUGUUGGAAAGCUGCAGCAAAACCGCUCCUUCCACAUGUUGAUAGGUUUCUGUAAUUCCUUAUGGUUAAAGCGUAAUUUGGAAAAUCAUAAAAUUUUGUAAACCGAACAGUCGAGUUCGUAUUUUCGAUGACGGCUAAUCCAAUUGAAGCAAAUGAUAUGGCGUUGGAAAGCUUAUGAAAAUGCGCUACUUUUUCAUGUUGAAAGUUUUUUCUAAUUUUCAACGGUUUAAAAGAAAUUUAGAAAACAACACAAGUUCUAGCGAAUUUGUAUUUUCAAGCUAAUCUUUUAACCGUUUGUCCGAAUGCAGCAAACGAUAUGGCGUUGGAGAGCUUGAAGAAAUGCGAAACUGUUUUGUAUCUAUUAUUUCUCCCAAUUCCUUAUGGUUUUAAGUCAAUUUUUAAAAUGAUUAAAAACGUAUUUUUGUCGUAAUUUCUACAAACUUUAUUAGAUUGGGGCAAAUAAUAUACCCUUGAAAAGCUACGGAAAAUGCGAAACUUUUUCAUGUUGAUGGUUUUCUCGGAUUCCUUGCCUUUUUCAAGUAAUUUCAAAAACGGCGAGAUCAUUCGUUCUGCCUCUAUCGCGAAACAGAUUCUUCGAAAAUGCACCGCGUGAAGAACUUGAACUUCUCGGCAUGCCUACUUGAACUUCACUCUGUUUUUCACGUGCUUUUUUUGCCUGUAGCUCUCCAUCCACUCAUCAGAAUACUCACCGGAAUUGAGCAAGUGAUAUAUCAGUGGAAAGCUGCUAUGAACACGCAACUUUCCCGUAUUGAUCGUUUUUUCAUACCCACGACGAUUUUAAUAGUUUUUCAUCUGAAAUUCAUCCACUGUAGUAGUUGAACUUCCUGCUGUUUUCAGUUGAACUUCUGUGACGUAUUUUCGUUUGUAAUUUUCUCAUCCGUUCGUCAGUGUUACACAAAUGAUAUUCCUUUUGUACAAAUCCCUCUCGCAAUAAUUUUUUUAACUUUCUCCAAUGAAGGCUUGAACUUAUAACAACAAACAUUUAGCCUUUGAUUUUUAUUCUUUUUUUAAUACAAAAUGCACACCGUGUAGUACAUGAACUUCUCAUAGUUAUCAACCUGAUUAUCUCUCGGUUACGUGAAAAUAUUUGAGUUUUUUUUUAUGAAUUUUUAAGCGCUAUAUUUUUAAUAGUUGAACUUUUUGUUAUUUUAUUUUUGAACUUAUUGUUUCAUUCUUUAAUAAUGAGGAAAAUCUGAGUUUUCUAUAAUCAUCGAACUUCUCCGUCUUUUUAAUAUGGACUUCCUGGUUUUUUAUUAAUCUUUUUUAUGAAAUUUUGAAGCGCUCUAUUUUUAAAAGUUGAACUUCUUGUUAUUUCAUUUUUGAACUUCUUGUUUCCAUUCUUUAAUAACGGGGAAAAUCUGAGUUUUCUAUAAUCAUCGAACUUCUCCAUUUUUUAAUUCGUACUUUGUAGUUUUAUUUCUAUUAGUAACAGGAAAAAUCCUGAACUUUCUGCGUUACACAACCUGAACUUCUCUGUGUAGGAACCCGACCUUCUUACAACAAAAAUUUUAGACAUCGCCUUUUACUCUUUUUUCUCGUAUGAAACACACACCAUGCACUACGUGAACUUCUGGCUGUUAUCACUCUGAACUUUUUACAAAAAGGGGGAAAUUCUUUUUAAACUUUUUUAGUUGUUCCUUUUUUUAAUUUGAACUUCUUCAUUCGAUUCUAUAGUAAGGAGAAAAUUUUGAGUUUUUUAUGUACUUCGGACUUCUUUUCUUUUUAAUUUGAACUUCUUAGCCUUUUUUUUUGAAAAAUAUAUUUUUAAAUAAGCAUCAAACUUUUUAUAAAAUUAAAAUUCAUAAUUUUAUUUUUCCUAUAUUAUGAAAUUAUCUUAGUUUUCCAUACACAUCGAAGUACUUCGUUAUUUUAUUUGAACUUCUCGAUUUUAUUUGUUUAGUAGCAAGGAAAAUCUGAGUUUUUUAAUUCAAAAUUCUUAAUUUUUUAAAUCUGGACUUCUCGCUUUUUUAAACUGUGAAAAUCAAAUGCACUGUUAUUCAAUUAAACUUCUAGUUUUUUACUUAUUUUUCGAAAAUGAAAUUUAGGAUUUGUUAUAACUUCGAACUACACCAUUAUUUGAAAUUGAACUUCUACGUGUUUUUAUAAACGACCUUCUUUGCCAGAAAACUGCACUUCAUCAUAUUGUUUUUUGAAUUGCUUCCUGUAUUCAUUUCGAACUUAUGUCAUGAUUUUUGUUCAUAAUUAAACAUUAAUUGUGCCAUUUUUUUAAGUUGGACUUUCUUGGUUUUUAUUUUUGAGUGUGAGGAAAAACUUUGAGUUUUGUAAUUAAUAUCGAACUUCUCCACUUUUUUUGAUCGAACUUCUUGGUUAUAUUUAUUUAGUAACGAGGAAAAUCUAAGUUUUUUAUAUAGAUUGAACUACUCCUUUUUUUGAAUUUGAACUUCUUGGUUAUAUUAUAGAAUUUUUUUAACUUCCUCAUUUUUGUCUUGAUGUUACUGAAUGGAAUAAUGUGCACUCCCUCGAAUUGUCAUAGUUCACUCAUCUACAAUAUUUUUUCUGUUCGCCUCUUUUAUAUUUUUGGACACCCAUGGUGUGAAUUUUUCCGAAAUUGUUCAUUUUGAAUUUCCGCGGCAGAAUAUAUGAACUUCUCAUGCAUAGUUUUUUUUUUGUGUAUCACUCAAUGGUGAUACACAUAUAUGAUUUUUAAUAGUUCUUUAUAAUUUACAUAUAUGAUUUGUAAUUUACUUUUGUAGAGUACACACCCACUGGUUCAGAACUUCAACAUCCACGGCGAUAGGUUAGCCACAUUUUUUUAGUGUACAAACUUUCUCAUCAGACACACCUUGAACUUUCCAAGUUCUAAAAACGUAUGAAAUCUAUGUGUUUUUUGUUGAUAUGUUCACUAUCAUGUACUGACAAAGAGAUAAAAAUCCAAUAAUCUCACAACACUUAACAUGUUUAAGAAAGGAUUGAAGGCAAUUUUUAGUGGGACAACACCAAAACGAGGUUUUCAAACCCAUUUUCCUCCAAGACGCAUAGAACCAACACAUUUUCACAGCACAACAAUGUGGCAUAAGGAAACUCGAAUUUUCUUGAUGAACAGAGAGGCCGUUGAGCAUGUAUAGUUGAUGUGAGACACCGCAGUGGGUUGAGUUCUUUUGUCCUUACCUUCCUCAACACUGAUGCCUGAACUUCUCUGUUCGUCACCCCGACCUUCCGAAUUUCCUUUUCUCAUAUGCAUGAACUUUCAUGGGACGAUACUUGAUCAUUUGUUUAUUUCUCUUACUAAAAGACGCAUACAUUUUUAUGUCUUGUGUUUGCACAAAAUAAGCUAUUACUUGUCUCCCGAUUAAAAAAGCUAGUGAAUUUCUCCACCACACACAUGUUCUUCUGAACCUCACCAUCACCACACACGUUUUCUGAACCUCAACCUCACCACCACACACACGCAUACAUGCUCCUUCUCUCCGUUAUAUUUUUGAACUUUAUGUGCACAAAUCUACAAAAACAACAUCUUUUGUCAGAACAUGAAAAGAACAUAAGAAAGCUGCACCAUGCAAAUUUGUGAGCACUGUGUGAUUUAAGUAACUACUAGAUAAACAGCCUGGGUGCUGGCAGCCGGACUAUAUAUAUUACCACGUAUUCAGUGUUGACAAUUCCUCAACACUGAGUACUGAAUACCGAACCGACUAGUACGAGUUCAGUACAAUUCAGCCAACUAGUUUUCGAUCGUGGUAACAAACAAAGCAGCGCUCGAGUGCUUCACAUCACAGUAACAGAAGUGCUGUGCUGGGAUGUACUGUACGUGUGCUGCUCCGGUUUUCUUCAGACCAACUCAAAAAGUUGCGCGCGGUUGUGCUUUGAAACUGAAAACUCAUUACUUAAAGCUGAAAGCAGAAGUUAUUAUCCCACAUUGUCUUGUUCCGCAACAAUUGUCUUGUUCGGUUUGUGAUUUGAAACUGAAAACUAACUUCUAUCGAAAAGGGGAUGCCCCAGGCCACGUGCGGUGUGAUACGCCGGUGCAGAAUUGAACGAGCAGAAUGUGACGCAAUUCAAUCAUUCAAGACGGCAGGAGCAGAGAAGCAACAGGAGGGAGGAAGGUCAGCUUCAGCAGGAGGAGGAAGGUCACCUGCAGCAGGAUUAGGGAGGGCCGGUGGUCGUCCCGGCGGGUGGUGCCAGAAGCGGGGCGCGUCAGUUGAACCGCCCGAGGUGGCGGCGACGAACUUCGAGAUUGCUGCAGCGGAUCUGGGCGCGAGGGCUCGGCCUCGUCCGGUUCCCGGCCAGAUUCGGGGCGUACGGUGCUCGGGGGACUUUGGUGGCGAGCUCCUGCCGCAUGGCUGCUGUCCAUGAUGGCCAUGGCGGGUACCUGCAGGAGAACAGAGAGAGAGGGUGUGAGGGAGAAGGAAGGAGAGGAAGAGAGGAAGGGAAGGUGCGCCGGAGGCCCCCCCUGUGGCUGCCGAUGGAGGAGCACGAGGGCUUGGCAUCCCCUCGUGCGGGCGUGGAGGCGGACAGGUGAGGAGCAGAGGCAGGCGGCGCGGCGGCCGGAUCCAAGAACGGUGGCGGCGCGGCGGCCUGAUCCGGGGGUCGGUGGUGGCGCGGCUGCCGAAUCUUGAGGCAGGGCGCGUGGGGGCGGGGGCAGAUCGAGGGCGGGGCGGCGAGCUCGUCGCAGGAGGAAUCGGGGGAGAGCGAGCUGCGGGGAGGUGCGGGACUGGGUCGUUUUCUCACGCGUGCAUUUUCUGGAAUCUCGGGAAUACCUAAUCGGGCCUAUAUAGGGCCUGACCUGAUCCAAAUAGUUAUUCUGAUCCCAAGAUCAGAAUAAUGCUGUCCUAUAUAUUCACUAAGGAUUUAGUCCUUUAACUUUUUAAGGAUCGCCUAGAGGUGUCUUUAUGACUUGUUUAUUUCAGUUCUUCACAAUGUGAUGCUCUAUAUGUGCAAUUAUUUGCUGUGCAGUCCAAUUUCAUCAAUAACGGUUUCAACAAUACCACUAUGAAUUACGAUAUUUGGUUGCUGUUAAGGAUAUUGCAGUUAACAUGCCUUUUCUUUUUUCAAUUGUUGUUUAGCAACAUGCAUUGUACUGAAUGACUAAAUAUGCAAUUCCAGGCUACAUAGCAAUAAGGAAGAGUGUUACCUUAAUGUUCUGACGAUGUCUAGAUAUACAUGUAAUAAAAUCUUAUAUAAUGGGAUGGAUGGGUGUUGUACUACAUCAUUUUUCAAUUGUUGUUUAGCUUCUAAUAUUAACUUGGUACUUUUAGGUACAUAUAUCAUUGCCAAAGAUCCACACUUCGACCCUUUCUGCGUAUGGGGCAAUGAGAUAUUCAUGAACCAGCAUCAAGUGAGGAAACUGAUAAAGAUUGUUACUAAAAUGGGUCAAAAGAUGUCAAUCGAACUAUUUGUCUACACUUUAUGCAAGACAACAGUGAACUGCAGGAUGGUAAGUAAGAACCCUGUAGCCUUAUUUUUACUGCCCGUAAUGAGUUGUGUCAGAUGACAAUAUCUGAAUCUUUUUUCUUUUGCAGUGGAUCCUGAAGCAGUUUACUCAAGAUUACCUCUAAAACUACAUGAUUGGCGACCGGCCAUCACAAGGGGUUGGACUAGAGUCCUGCAUGCCUUCUGCAUCCAGGAGAGCACAAUAGGGCCAUUCCGCUUCACCUUGUUCAGCAACUGGAAUGUCUGUCGCCUCUUUCUUUACCAUCUGUAGUAGUACAAGUAUAGAACCCUGGUACAUCAUUCUUUAUUUGGUGCUUCUGUAAUUCUUAAACAUACGUACCUGUGACUCAAAUAAUGCAUUGGUUGUUUGAACCUGAUGGAUAUGAAUAAAGUUAUAGCCUACUUUUAAGUUUAAAUUAGGUACAAUUUUAAAUAGCAGCAAUUAAAUUAGGGAGAAAUUACGUUGUGCGGGUCAUUACGGCACACAUGGUUGGUAAAACACAAACGUUUGCGAUAUUAACCAUAAUCCGAGACGGUUCACAGAGAGGAAACGUGUGCAAGCAUGCACACAGUUGCCGUUCGCGAAGCGUGUGUGAUGUCAGACACUAUCACAUACGGUGCGGGAAAACUAAAUGUGCGUGAUUGUCUACCUAUCGUACAUGGUUUAUAAUCAUGAACUGUUUGUGAUGUGCCAGGCAUCGUAAAUCUCCCGUGCUUGGAAUCUGCCUGGAAAGCUCCCGUGCCUAGAAUCUGCCUGGUUUUAGGCAGAACCACAAAACCCCGACUGCGAUGGCAAUGCGAGCACAAACGAGUAGCAAGGAUGAAGCGUUUGGGAUAUUCAAGAUAUCAGAAACGGUUAUAUAGGGACAACUGUAUGCAUCAAGGCUCCCUAUCCCCGACGGUUUCUGGGUCGUGUGGGAAGGACCCCCCUAUCGCCCACACUCACUUGGCGACGGUUCCAAAUGCCGUCGCGAAAAUGGGUUAAAAAUCGUUUGUUUAGGACUGACGCGCACCAGUGAUCUUUCAGCCAUAUGCAUUGUUGAUGCUCAGUAAAAACUUAUAUAGUUGACACAAUCAUAUAGAACAUCAUAGCACACUGAACUUGCAUACAAAAAUUUCACGCAGGCGGCACAAUCAGGGUGGAAGCAGUGGAUCGCUAUGGGUAGGGCUAUGUUGAAACCAACGAACUCGUACAUAACGGUUCAUUGUCUUUAUCAAUGACGGGGAAAUAUCUUGAAUGCUGUGCAAAGAAAACAGACAGACAACACAAUAAGUUCUGCUAGCACAUUAAGUUGACGUACAACCCUUUCUAAAAAAAGUUCAGCUACAAAAUUAGAACAGGUCACAAUCAAAUGUACUGGCACAUCAGUGCUUCAUACCCAUUGCUCGGAUUUAACUAGUAUCUGACAAGACUCAGUUGUUACCUGAAAUUAGAGCACAUCCAGGCAGGCAGCCCUGCCUCUUCUCCCAAAGAAGCAGUGGCCUCCGCAGGUACAAAAUUAGAAUAGGUCACAAUCAAAUGUACUGGCACAUCAGUGCUUCACACCCAUAGCUCGGAUUUAACUAGUAUCUGACAAGAUUCAGUUGUUACCUCAAAUUAGAGCACAUCCAGGCAGCCAGCCCUGCCUCUUCUCCCAAAGAAGCAGUGGCCUCCGCCGCGCGAUGGAGUAGGCCCUGUGCCAUCCAUCAUUCCGAGCAACACGGGGAAAGUCUGACGUUGACUCCUGUAAUGGACGUCGUCGACGGACCCUGGCACCAGCGGCGGCUGCAGGACUUCGAUUGAUGGAUUAACCACUUCUUCGACAUGCACGAACACUCGAUACAGGUACAUCCCUAACAUGGUCUGCGACGGCCAUGGUGGCUACGAAUAGUACAACCCCGGUUCCUGCACCGGUAUCUCAACACCAAUCACCUUCGGAAUGGUGGACGGCUUCUUCAUCCAUGCCAUAACCGUCAGAGCCCAGCUGUCUGGAGGAACAAGCAUACUUACGAGCACACCUCCAAGGUCGUUGAUAAGCUCAUUCAUGGGCUCGUUGUUCCAAGCACGUCGAGGCAUGCCGUGGAAGGUAAGCUUUGUUAAAAACUCAAGCUCAGAGGGCACCGAGCCCCAUCCUGGGUGCCACUGAUCAAAGCUCACCAGCGCGCCAUCGCAGAACAAACGCUGGGAAGAUUCGAACACACGACUGCAGUCGAAAGUUGUCCGGAACCUGACGAAGAAAUUAGCCAGUGGCGGACAAACUUCGACGAGCGAGUCACUUAUUUGGAUGCUGAAACGAUCGAUAUGGUUGACUAGAGGGUGGGUGAAUAGGCAACUAACAAUUUUUAGCUUUUCUUUAUCGAAUUAAACUUUGCAUCAAAGUAGGUUGUCUAGAUAUGCAACUAGGUGAACAACCUAUAUGAUGCAACAACACCAAGCACACAAGUAAGCAAGGGAUAUAACACAAAUAAACUUGUACAAGUAAAGGCAGGAGAUAACCAAGAGUGGAGCCGGUGAAGACGAGGAUGUGUUACCGAAGUUCCUUCCUUUUGAGGGGAAGUACGUCUCCGUUGGAGCGGUGUGGAGGCACAAUGCUCCCCAAGAAGCCAUUAGGGCCACCGUAUUCUCCUCACGCCCUCACACAAUGCGAGAUGUCGUGAUUCCACUAUUGGUGCCCUUGAAGGCGGCAACCGUACCUUUACAAACAAGGUUGGGGCUCUCUCCACAACUUAAUUGGAGGCUCCCAACGAAACCUCGGAGCUUCACCACAAUGGAAUGUGGCUCCAAAGUGACCUCUUCCUUCUAGGGUGCCCAAGCACCCAAGAGUAACAAAAUCCACACACGAAAGUAUGGGGGAAUCAAAUAUCCUUUGGUGGAAGUGUAGAUCUAGGUCUCCUCCUUCACUCCCUAGCAAAACAACAAGUUUGGGUGGCUAGGGAGAGAGAUCGGGCAAGAAAGCUUUCAUGGCAGUAAUGGAGGAGAGAGAGAGGCAAGAGGUAGGUGGGAGGUAGGAGAAGCACCUCCUUAAAUAGGCCCCCCAAGAUCCAACCGUUAUGUGCAGAAAAGCAUGGGACCGGUACUUCCGCACUAGACACCGGUACAACCGGUGAAUGCGGGGAACCCCUCCUAGGGCACCAGGGCGGUACUUCUGGUGGCGUACCCGGUAGUACCAGUUUAUCGGAAUAAACCGGAACUACCGCUCCACUACCGCUCAACUACCGCAUACGUCCAAAAGGUUUACACCUCAGACCGGUAGUUGGAGCGGUAGUAGGGUCGGAGCUACCGCUGGGGCAGCAGUUCCUGGGUGAUGGAGUCCGAGGCGGUACAACCGCCCUGGACACCGGUAGUACCGGUUUAUCAAGACAAACCGCAACUUCCGUUCCACCACCGGUCUACUACCGCACCUUGUACAGAAGGGAUUCACCCCUGACCGGUACUAGGGGCGGUGGUAGGACCGGAACUACCGCCCAGCGGUACAACCGCUCAAUGGAGCGGUACAACCGCCAUGGGUAGGAUUGCACAGGUUAGAGGGCAGUGGGGAACCUCUCUCUCCUCGAAACGGAGGGUAUAUGGUGGGUGCACAGAAUGUGUACAUGAAGUGAUUCACCCAAUACCUUCCAAUGGAUUCCCUCUUAAUAGUACGGAUGUCCUACGACCAAAGGAAAUAAAACGUCGGAAACUCCGUCUUUGAUCUUUUCUGCAUAGAGGGAAAACCUAACCGUCUUGCGCCACACCAUGUGUACCUGAGAAAACUAUGGCGCACGAUUAGACCACGUGUGUUGUCAUCAUCACCAAAACCCUAAGGCAAAUGAUGCCCUUACAAUCUCCCCCUUUUUGGUGGAUGAUGACAACCGCACGAUUAGUCCGGGAGUUCUAAAAAUAAAGGAGGGGCUCCCCUGAGUGUGAGUACUAUUUAGAAUUUGCUUUUGGAGUGCAAAGUGCACACACUAGGGAAUGCUCCCCCUGGAUUUUAUAGACCAACCGGAGAGGCAAUACAAUCGAAAUAGACGUAAAGCAGUAGAGACAACAUAUAAUGAACCAACAUAUAAUAAACUCUACUGAACGAAGAGUGCAUAGAUAAACCGAACAACGCAUGUCUUACACCAUGCACGAGAGCACAACAUAGAAGAAGUACAUAGAGCACUAGAAAGAAGCAAGCAAAUAAACUAGAAAGACCAACUGCAAAUAACCACCCAUGCAACUCCCGUGACCUAAUGGAGCUCUCUCCCCCUUUGGCAUCGAGACACCAAAAAGGAAAAAAGCGAAGCUAGCGCCCCGGGGCUCAGUAUACCUCCUCGCCAGUAGCCGCAGAGCUGUCAGACGCAUCAUCCUCACUAUCAUCGUCAGGAUCCUGAGCCUCACCAGACUCCUCAGACUCCUCAGGCCUCGCAGCAGUUGCCUCAGGAACACGGACAGAAGAGGUACCAUGUGCCUCAUCAGACCACUCACAGUUCUCCAAGCACCAGGUAUCCUCAGGAGUGAUGGUCUUCUCGGAGCCACUCUUCACAUCUGGCACAUUGAGGUGCCUCAUCAACUAAAUCUGCCUGCGACACGCCAUCUUCUCAGCAACGUGGGCCUUGUAGAGCUUCUUCUGGAUAUGGGUAUGCAAGCAAAAGGUCUUCUUGAUCUUGGACGUCAGCUUCUCAACCCAGGUGGGCUGGACCCCAGGCUCCAACUCAAAGUCCUCGUUAUCCAAGGUAGCAUACACAUCCUCCUGAUUGCUCGUAGAGAAACGGGGAGUCUUAUGCUUCUUCUUCCUUAGCUCCUUGACCUCAUGCUCCGUGAGGUUGGCAGGAGUGGAAAGAGGCUCUCCUGGCCUACGGACUGCCCAAACGGUGUUCAGAAACUGCAUCACAAAAGGAGCAUAUAUCGGUACCUUGCGGUACAACACCAUGUUGUACAUCUCCUCCCAGAGCCACUUAGAGACAUCAAACGUGGCACCGGAUCCCCUCUUGGUCUUCAUGGACACAAGCAAAUCCACCAGAUAGCCAUAGAUAUCAUCUUGAUUCCCAACCUUGGGAAGCAGCACACAGCGGAACACACGAUGCAUAAUGUCAAAGACUGGCAGAAGAUCAUUGGACUUUCCCACAAUACCAUGUCCAGGGAUGUACAGAGGGGCAAGCUUCACUUUGUCCAUGGGGUGAGCACGGUCGUGAGGACGGAUGCCACCCUGACCCUCAAUCCCAGUAUCCUCAUAGCCAAGAGCAUUGCAGAAAGCUCUCCACGGGACAUGAAAGAACUCAUCAUGGCACAUAAAGGAGAGGUGGCGUUCCUCAUCAGAGCCGAAGUGGACUGUAGCAUAGAACUGAUGGAUGAGCUGCACAUCGAAAUCACAAUUCACGGUCAUGAGUUUGAUCAAAUCAAACUCCUCACAGAUCUCCAGAGCUUCUCCAAAGUAGUCAAGGUUGUUCCUCCAAUGAUCGAUGUCGAUGGACCACAUCCGGGUGAACUUGUUCUUGUGAUGCUCAAAAACUUCUGACACAAUCCUCAUUUGAGACUCAUUCCGGAACUGAGGGUUGUUCCAACGGGGGUUCGGUGCAACAGUAUAGGGAUUCUGGAAACGAAAUUUUGCCAAUCCGGCAUCUUCCACUUAUGCAUAGGCAUGGCAACACGUUGCUUAGCAGCAGCAGACUUCUCUCGACGAGUGGUCUUGGUGGGAAUCACCACUUCAUGAUCAUCAUCAUUGUCACUCGAAGGUUUUCCCCUAUGAGCCCUCUUCUUGGUAUUCUGAGGCUUCCGAGCAGCACCAGAGCUAGGGCCACCUGCACACACACACAGAAAGCACACAGAGACCCCAGCAAAGAUGAGAGGAGUGUACACAAGAUUGGAGGAAUAUGUUUCAUGUAAGUGGGUAGAAGAGAAACAGGGUGCAUAGGUUCAGAGAAACCGGUUUUUCCGGUUGGACCACCGGUAGUACCACCCGGGCGGUAGUACCGCUUGCAAGGAGCGGUAGUACCGCUGGGGGCGAAUCCGCCGAGUGGAAGAACGGGAACCACCCGUUCUCGAAUCUAUAUGCCAUAUUCCUAUUACUACAUACGCACAGGAAGCAGAAGGAGGCUAUACGGAUCUCUCCCACCAACCAUUUGGCCGAAAAUGGGGGAGUACAAGCAAUGCCCUAGGGUUCGAUUCAAAACGAGGAACCCUAAAAAGGAGAAGAACAAGGCAUUGCCGGUAUCCAUGGAAGAGAUCGAAGAGGAGGCGGCCUCCACGGAGCGGAUCCGAUGGAGGGCCGACCGAUCCGGAGAGCCUGAGAGCGCUCCGGGGCGAGGGACGAAGCAACCGGUGGCGAGGGAGAAAAGGGGAAGGACGAGCACGGAGGGGAAAAGAACGACCCCUUCUGCCCGCAUCCCUUUUAUACGCCUCAAAUGUCAACCGGUAGUACCGCUCCUAGGAGCGGUAGUACCGGUCCUGUAGCUACCAGGUGGUUGAGAGCGGUACUUCCGCUGCAGAAGCAGCGGUAGUACCGCGUCCAAACAUCGGUAGUACCGGUCAGCGGUACUGGUACAGGCAGGAGCGGUAGAACCGCUCAUGCAGGACCGGAAGUACCGCUGAGACUGUACAGCAGAAGGGAAGACAGGUAGAACCGGUCUGACCGUCGGUUGUACCGCCAGGUUGCAACAGCCCAAGCACAAGGAGAUCAACUUGUGUACAUUUGGAAAAGAUGGCUUGGGAUGAGAAGGCUUAGGAUAGAAAAAUGUCACUGUAAUAUGAUGAAGAAGACUCUCAAGAGUGCAAGAAGCAACCAAGAAAAGCCAUUCUUUAGAGAAUUCAAACAUCUAGGCAAACGGAAACACCUAACAAGGAAAAACACCUAAGCACAAGGGCGGUGGCCGAAGCCACCUAUGUUUGAGUUAAGAGGGUAUGGCGCCGGGAAGAAUUAUCCUUGGGCCCAUGACCACAACUCGUCUUUGAAGCACAAGUACCAUCAACGAUGGCUAAUGUGAAAGAGUUGAUCAAUUUAUGCAUAAUGCGGGGGAGGAAGAGUUCAUUGAGAGAACAACACUCCCCCUAUGUCCAUGCCUACAUCUAAACUAGACAACAAGUUGAGUGAGGUGGGGUGUGCAAGGGUUCAAGUCACAUUGCUCGAAUCAAUGAUAUUUAGCUCAUGUCUUAACUUGCGAAAUCUUGCUUCAUCCAAGGGCUUCGUGAAAAUAUUUGCAAGGUUAUCAUGAGUGUUGACAUAGUUGAGCUCGAUCUCCCCUCGCCUAAUAUGAUCCCGGAUGAAGUGAUACCGAAUCUCAAUAUGCUUCGUCUUGAAGUGUUGCACCGGGUUGAGAGAAAUCUUGAUGGCACUUUCAUUGUCACACCAAAGAGGCACUUUGUCGCACAUGACACCGUAAUCCUUUAAAGUUUGCCUCAUCCAUAAGAGUUGUGCACAACAACUACCGGCCGCCACGUACUCCACUUCGGUGGACGAGAGAGACACGCAACUUUGCUUCUUGGAAGACCAACUCACCAAAGAGCAACCAAGAAAUUGGCACCCUCCGGAAGUGGACUUCCUAUCCACUUUGUCUCCCGCCCAAUCGGAGUCCGAAUAUCCUACAAGCUUGAAGUUUGCUCCUCUUGGGUACCAUAAGCCAAAGUUUGGGGUAUGAUCCAAAUAUCGAAAGAUUCUCUUGACCGCCACAAAGUGGCUUUCCUUAGGUGCGGCUUGAAAUCGUGCACAAAUUCCCACACUCAACAUGAUAUCCGGUCUAGAUGCACAAAGGUAAAGCAAGGAGCCAAUCAUGGAGCGAUAUACCUUUUGAUCCACCGCUUUACCAUUGGGAUCAAUGUCAAGUUGGCACUUGGUGGGCAUUGGAGUGGAAGCCGGCUUGACAUCACUUAGCUUAAAUCUCUUUAGCAUGUCUUGAGUGUAUUUGGCUUGGUUGAUGAAGGUUAUUUCUCUUCUUUGUUUGAUUUCGAACCCGAGAAAGAACUUUAGCUCUCCCAUCGAAGACACCUUGAACUUUGAGGUCAUGAGAGCGGCAAAUUCCUCAUUGAAAGCUUUGUUAGGAGAACCAAAUAUAAUAUAUCAACAUAUAGUUGGCACACAAACAACUCCCCUUUGACCUUCUUAGUAAAAAGAGUGGGGUCAAUUUUCCCAACCUCAAAUCCACGAUCUUGCAACAACUCGGUAAGGUGGUCAUACCACGCACGUGGGGCUUGUUUAAGGCCAUAGAGUGCCUUAUCAAGUUGAUACACAUGAUUUGGGAAGUAGGGAUCCUCGAACCCGGGGGGUUGUUUGACAUAUACCAACUCAUUAAUAGGACCAUUAAGAAAAGCACUCUUCACAUCCAUUUGUUGCAACUUAAAGUUAUGAUGAGAAGCAUAAGCAAUCAACAUGCGAAUGGACUCAAGGCGAGCAACGGGAGCAAAGGUUUCACCGUAGUCGAUACCCUCGACUUGGGAGUAGCCUUGUGCUACCAAACGAGCCUUGUUCCGAAUAAUGAUUCCAUGAGCAUCUUGCUUGUUCUUGAAAAUCCACUUGGUUACAAUGACAUUGUGGUUCCCGUUGGCCUUGGCACCAAUCUCCACACCUUGUUGUACUCGAAGUUGUUGAGUUCUUCAUGCAUGGCACUGAGCCAAUCCGGAUCUUCGAGCGCCUCAUAGACCUUUUGGGGUUCAACACAAGAGACAAACGCGUGAUGUUCGCAAUAGUUUGCCAAUUUUCUACGAGUGCUUACCCCCUUUUGAAUGCUUCCAAGCACAUUCUCCAUGAGAUGACCCUUGGUAGAGAGCUUGGAUGCAAUCUUGGCGGCACGACGCUCCAAUUCCUCCUCAGGGGUGAGUUGAGGAGCGGUCACUUGAUCAUCUUGAGCGCCGUCUUGAGCUUGUUCUUGAUCUUGAGCUUGCUCUUGAUCUUGAAUUUGCUCGGAGGAGAGAACUUGACCUUGGGCAUCACUUGGUGACUCAACACCGUCUUGAGGUUGAUCUUGCCCUUGGUCAUGUUCAUGAGGUUGAGGGCCUUCACUUUGUUCUUCGGAAGCGUGUGGGUCUCGGGUUGGUGAUGGUUCCACUUGAGUGGAACAUUGUCCUUCUCCUUCGGCCACAAGGGGUUCCUCAAUGGGUAGGAUAUGACCAACACCUAUUCUUCUUAUGGCUUGGGGAGGAAUUUCAUCACCUACAUCACAAGUACCACUUUGCUCCACUUGGGAGCCGUUAUUCUCAUCAAACUCCACGUUACACGUCUCCUCAAUAAGUCCCGUGGACUUAUUGAGAACACGGUAAGCAUGGGAGUUUGUCGCAUAACCAACAAAUAUGCCCUCAUGAGCUCUAGCCUCAAAUUUAGCCAACCGAACACCUUUCUUGAGAAUGAAGCACUUACACCCGAACACCCGGAAGUACUUGAGGUUGGGCUUGUUACCAGUGAGAAUCUCAUAUGGAGUCUUGUUCAAGCCCUUGCGGAGGUAGAGCCGAUUUGAUGCAUGACACGCGGUGUUGAUGGCUUCGGCCCAAAAGUUGUAUGGAGACUUGAACUCCGCCAUCAUGGUCCUUGCCGCAUCCAUCAACGUCCGGUUCUUCCUCUCCGCUACACCAUUUUGUUGAGGGGUGUAUGGUGCGGAAUAUUGAUGCUUGAUCCCCUCAUCACUAAGAAACUCAUCCAAGGUGUAGUUCUUGAACUCGGUGCCGUUGUCACUUCUUACAGUCAAGAUCUUUGCAUUGUGUUGACGUUGGGCUUCAUUCGCAAAGUCAAUGAUGGUUUGUUGGGUCUCGCUCUUCCUCUUGAAGAAAUAUACCCACGUGUAUCUUGAAAAGUCAUCCACAAUCACCAAGCAAUACUUUCUACCCCCAAGACUAUCAAAGGAUGGAGGCCCAAAGAUAUCCAUGUGAAGGAGCUCCAAAGGCCUCUUUGAGUAAAUGAUAGUAGUGGGAGGGUGAGCCUUCUCAUGUAGCUUUCCUUCGAUACAAGCACUGCAAGCACGAUCUUUAGCAAAACUAACAUUUGUUAGUCCAAGGACAUGGCCCCCCUUGAGAAGACUUUGCAAAGAUCUCAUAUUGACAUGGGAUAGACGGCGAUGCCAAAGCCAUCCCACGUCAACUUUAGCCAUUUGGCAUGUCGCCGUCUUAGUGAGUCACUCCGAAAAGUUAAUCACAUAGAGACCGUUCUCGACAUGCCCAACAAAGGCUACUUUAAGAGUCUUGCUCCACAAGAGGGCCAUGGUAUCAAUAUCAAAGAAGGUGGAAAAACCCAUGAGUGCAAGUUGACGAACGGAAAGUAAAUUGUAUGCAAGGGACUCAACAAGCAUGACCUUCUCGAUCGUGAGAUCAUGAGAAAUGAUAACCUUGCCGAGUCCCAAUACCUUAGAAGACGAGGCAUCACCCCACUCGACAUUGGUGGGCAUAGAUGGAAUCUUGUGCACGUCCACCACCAAGUCCUUGCUUCCGGUCAUAUGAUUUGUAGCUCCACUAUCGAGCAACCAUGAUCCCCCACCGGAAGAAAACACCUACAAGAGAUCAAUGCUUGGUUUUAGGUACCCAUUUUGUAAUGGGUCCUUUGAUGUUAGUGACAAGGGUCUUAGGAACCCAAAUAGACCAUUCAAUGUACUCAUAAGGAGAACCAACAAAUUUGGCAUAAACAUGCCCAUCACUAGCAUGACACAACACAUAAGAAGGGUUAAAGUCGCCGGCUUUGUUGGAAUGUGUGGCAUUGCCCUUCUUGACACCACCACCUUUCGCAUUGUUCUUCUUCUCCUUGGGAGCACCCUCUCCCUCCUUCACAAAAGUUUGCUUGAGAGGAGGAGGUCGUUUGGUCUUGUCAUUCUUCUUCUUGUUCUUGGGCUUGGGUGCGAACCCAAUCCCCUCCUUGGCUACAACUUCCUUUUGAUUACUCAAAAGGUCGUUGAGGUUCUUCUCACCUUGUAUGCAUGACACAAGGCCUUUCUCAAGUUGCUCCUUCAACUUAGCAUUCUCCUGAAUAAGAUGCUCAUGCCCACAACAAGGGUUAGUAGCAUUUGCAUUAUCAAUUAAAACCAUAUGAGGAUAUGUGGCUUUCUCCUUGGUUAGCUUCACUUGAAGUUGAUCAUGAGACUCUUUAAGACUAGCAUGAAUACCCUUCAAGGCCUUGUGAGCCUUGUCAAGUAUAUCAAACUCCUCCUUGAGUCUAGCAAGAUCAAUCCCAAGUUUGGCUUUCUCGGAAUUUAGCACACAAGAUACAACAAGAGCAUGAUCAAGAUCUUUCUUUAGUUUAGCAUGAUCAUCAUUGUAUGACUCCUCAAGAGCCAAACGAAGACCACACUCUUCCUCAAGGGCAUUGGAAAGAUCCGAAAUCUCAUCGGCAUAGUGAUGACUAUGCCCCUCCAUCUUAGAGAUGGUAUCUUCGUGAGCCUCGAUCAUGUCAUUGGCUUCACCAAGUUGUUCCAAGAGAGCAACGAAGUGCUUCUUGGAUUUACCCUUGAGUUUACCCAUAAAGGACUCAAACUCAUUCUCCUCCUCACUAGAUCCUCCAUGUUCAUCAAUGCAAUCCGUCAAAGAAGGAUUAUUAAUUAUGGUAAUUUUGAUGUUGGGGGUUACCUUGUUGGUGGCUUUAGCCAUGAGGCACUUGGCGGUGAUGCUUUCAUUGGGUGAGUCGAAGAGAGACACCCGUGGAGUUGUUGCAAUGGCAACGGAGGCCAUGCCACCCGACUCACCAUCUUCAUCAUCAUCAUCAUCCUCAUUGUACUCUUCUUGUACCACCAAAACCUUGGGAGGAGUCUUCUUGGUGAAGUUGCUCUUGUUGGGGAAGAACUUGGCCUUGUCCUUACGGAUAAGCUUGCCACCAUUGUCUUCCCUCUUCUCAUAAGGGCAUUCCGCAACAAAAUGGCUCACAUUGCCACAAUUAUAGCAAGUCUUCACACGUUGCUUGACCUUUGCGCCACUUGUGUUGCUCUUGUUGAAGUUGGACCUUGAGUUCUUCUUGCUCCAAAAUUGCCUUGAAGCAAGAGCCAUGUGUUCAUGAUAGGCAUACUUUGUGUCUUCGGGGUUGCUCUCCUCUUCUUCCUCUUCGUCUUCUUCUUCUACACUAACCUUGGCCUUUAAUGCAAGGUUGGGCUUCUUUGCUCUUUGAGAACGUAGCACCGCAUUGUCGGCGGUCUUGUCCAAGAUGCUCAUAGCCACAAACUCAUCAACCACUUCACUUGAGGACAAGGUGUGGAAGUCCGGCCUUUGACGAAUGACGGAGGACAUGGCCUUGUGUAAGGCAUCAUUGCCUUGAGGAAUUUGCGCUUGAUCCAACUGUCAUCCGUGUCCUUGCUCCCAUGAUCUCGGAGUGAGACCGCGAGUUUGGUUACUCUCUGAUAAAGCUCACAAGGUUCUUCAUCUUCUUUCAUUGCAAACUCAUCGGCUUCAUCUUGCACCACUUCAUAGUUGGAGCGUUGAAUGCUUGCGCUUCCCCUGUAGAGGGAAACAACUUGGUGCCAUGCAUCUAUGGCUAUGCCGUAGGGCCGGAGAUGAGGAAGAUCUUCGGGUGGAAUUGCAUCUUGGAUGAUGAAGAGAGCAUUCUCAUUGAAUUGGUUGUCCGCGGCUUCUCUAGGAGUGAAGUUGCUUCGGUCAUGCGGAUAGAAACCUUCUUCAAUGAUUCUCCAAAGAUUAGUAUUCACAUGAUUUAAAUGACGCUUAAAGCGAUAGACCCAAGAAUCAACGUCCUCAUUUUUCACAAUCUUAGGGGGGAGGACCGGCAUGAUUCAAAUGAGUGGAAGGAAUUGGUCCACCAUAAACAAGUGGAGGUUCCACAUGGGCAAAGAUGUCGGUGCCAUUUUUACCACUAGAAGAAGGAGCCUUUUCACUAGUAGCUUCCCCCUUGUCGGAGUUAGCAUCCGUCAUCUUGUUAGUGGGAUCACCCACUUUCAACGGCGCGGUGGAUAGUUAAGCCCUUCUAGGAAUUUAUUAAACAUGCUUUCAACCUCGGUCGUCAUGGAGGUUUUCAAUGUGUCCAAAGCCACAUUGAAUUCCUCACGCGAGACUGCGGUUCCCCCAUCGGCCAUAGACGAGAACGGAUUCACACCAGAGUGCUCCUCCCCACUGUCUACCGCGUCAACCAUACUCUUCGGACGGCAAAGUCCUUAAUAAAGAGACGAGGCUCUGAUACCAAAUGAAAGGAUCGAUAUAGUUGACUAGAGGGGGUGAAUAGGAAACUAACAAUUUUUAGCUUUUCUUUAUCAAAUUAAACUUUUCAUCAAAGCAGGUUGUCUAGAUAUGCAACUAGGUGAACAACCUAUAUGAUGCAACAACACCAAGCACACAAGCAAGCAAGGGAUAUAACACAAAUAAACUUGCACAGGUAAAGGCACGAGAUAACCAAGAGUGGAGCCGGUGAAGACCAGGAUGUAUUACCGAAGUUCCUUCCUUUUGAGGGGAAGUACAUCUCCGUUGGAGCGGUGUGGAGGCACAAUGCUCCCCAAGAAGCCACUAGGGCCACCGUAUUCUCCUCGCGCCCUCACACAAUGCGAGAUGCCGUGAGUCCACUAUUGGUGCCCUUGAAGGCGGCAACCGGACCUUUACAAACAAGGUUGGGGCUCUCUCCACAACUUAAUUGGAGGCUCCCAACGAAACCUCGGAGCUUCACCACAAUGGAAUGUGGCUCCGAAGUGACCUCUUCCUUCUAGGGUGCCCAAGCACCCAAGAGUAACAAAAUCCACACACGAAAGUAUGGGGGAAUCAAAUAUCCUUUGGUGGAAGUGUAGAUCUAGGUCUCCUCCUUCACUCCCUAGCAAAACAACAAGUUUGGGUGGCUAGGGAGAGAGAUUGGGCAAGAAAGCUUUAAUGGCAGUAAUGGAGGAGAGAGAGAGGCAAGAGGUAGGUUGGAGGUAGGAGAAGCACCUCCUUAAAUAGGCCCCCCAAGAUCCAACCGUUAUGUGCAGAAAAGCAUGGGACCGGUACUUCCGCACUAGACACCGGUACAACCGGUGAAUGCGGGGAACCCCUCCUAGGGCACCAGGGCGGUACUUCCGGUGGCGCACCCGGUAGUACCGGUUUAUCGGAAUAAACUGGAACUACCGCUCAACUACCGCAUACAUCCAAAAGGUUUACACCUCAGGCCGGUAGUUGGAGCGGUAGUAGGGCUGGAGCUACCGCUGGGCCAGCAGUUCCUGGGUGAUGGAGUCCGAGGCAGUACAACCGCCCUGGACACAUGUAGUACCGGUUUAUCAAGACAAACCGGAACUUCCGUUCCACCACCGGUCUACUACCGCACCUCGUACAGAAGGGAUUCACCCCUGACCGGUACUAGGGGUGGUGGUAGGACCGGAACUACCGCCCAGCGGUACAACCGCUCGAUGGAGCGGUACUACCGCCAUGGGCAGGACUGCACAGGUCAGAGGGCAGUGGGGAACCUUUCUCUCCUCGAAAUGGAGGGUAUAUGGUGGGUGCACAGAAUGUGUACGUGAAGUGAUUCACCCAAUACCUUCCAAUGGAUUCCCUCUUAAUAGUACGGAUGUCCUACGACCAAAGGGAAUAAAACAUCGGAAACUCCAUCUUUGAUCUUUUCUGCAUAGAUGGAAAACCUAACCAUCUUGCGCCACACCAUGUGUACCUGAGAAAACUAUGGCGCACGAUUAGACCACGUGUGUUGUCAUCAUCACCAAAACCCUAAGGCAAAUCAUGCCCUUACAGAUGCCGUGCGCAAUGCCAAGAGCUUUGACAAGGUCGUCCAGUGAGACGGGAGGCCGGUCACCGUUGUUGGUUACCAUCAGCACUUUGCCGGCAAACUGGUCGUCAAGCGCCGCCAUGCCACUUUCGAGCGACAGCACGCAGCGACCAAAGGCAGGACAGACCUCAGGAUCCCCAGCUCGGAGAUCCGCGUUGACCGGCGACAUGAUAGUGCGCUUGAGUACAGGGAGUACAGGAGGGGGAUUUGGGGGAACUGGAGUAGGAAUCAAGAUUCCAAAGGUGGGGGUGGGGCCGGAGAUUGGGGAUGAAAAGGUAGCAUGAAUUUCGAAGACGCGCCAAUAUGCUCUCGGCGCGCAAUCGCAUGAAAACACCGGUGGCGCCCACAUGUCGGCGUAAGAGUCCUUAUUCUUUCUUUUUUGGGGAGCCCGACCUUUUUUUUGAGGAUAUUUUGAGAGCCCGGCCUGAGAGUCAUAAUUGACCUGUUUGGCGUUGCGUUGCUACUCGGCCAAUAUUCAACGACACCUCACUGGCCCAAACAAGUGUACAUCAUCGAAAAGACACUGAGCUCAAAUUAUAACUUGAAAAAAGGAAAUAUACUCUGAACACUAGAGAAUGGUGAUGCCCUCAUUUAGCCCACCAGCAGUUUGAGACAAUAAACAGUUUGAAACAACGAUAUAUACAACAUUCAAACACUGACUAAUGACUACUACUGACAUAAACAGCAAGACAUGAUAGUUCAUAAGAAGUCUUGCUACACCACCAAAACGCACCCAUCUGCAGCGGUCAGACUCUCGUGAUCCAGACGAGAAUGACAUUCUAAAUAGAGGCAACUAUUACAUAGUAAGAGUGACAUAGACGAGGAUGACCAAAUGACAAGGAAUAUGCAUAACAAAAGAGAGAAGUACCCAUCCAGAACAAGCAGCAAAGACAACAAGCCAUUCGAAGAGGGAUGAUCCAACACCAUCAUAAUUUGCAGCCCCGCUUCAGCGACCAGUGAUCCGGAGACACCAGUACUCCACCCUUUCGACGCAACAGCCCAAUUACCUAUCAACCUGAAGACUUGAACCACAUCACUGCAUGUCGUACUUGAGACAUCCAAGGAUCAAAUUUAAUACAUAUGCCUUUGUCAUUCUCACCUUCUUUUGGCUACAGGCUGUAUCGUUGACAAUCAGGGGAGUUUGCUUCCGAACUCCUAACUCGCCGUGUAGACACAGUUUUCCAUAGCAAACGAGCCUCUCUACCAUCAAGGUCCUUGCCAAUGGUGAUCUCCUGGUUAAUCGGAUAAUUGAGUCCGAGAAACAGAGAGUGUGAACCAAGCCUGUUUACCCACCUCCAACUCAAAAAUCCUGAAGGCCCCAACAAGCCGGUAUCCUGCUCAUAGACGUAACAGCCACUGUCUGGAUACUCACGUAUUUCACGGUGCUUGUAUACAGUGGAGUUUUUGCAAUAUAACUUUUCUGGCUCAUGUGUCCGAAUGAUCAUCAGUCUUUUGCCGUCGUGUGGUCGAGCGAGGAACCAGUUGUGCUUCCCAGUUUUUGGCAAAGGUGGUGUGAUUACAAAGGGCAGUAACUGUAGGGACACUGCAUCAUACAAAAAAGGACAGGCAUUGUUGAUGUAAGAUCAGCAUUGUUCGGAGUAUGAUAGGAUAAUGCAAGAAACAUCAUUGAUAUGUCCCUGUUGGAACUGGGAGGAAAAUACAGGGAAAUGUAUACUGGGUUCGAAAAUAUAGAAGUGCCAUGCAUGGUUAUACUCAUGUUAUCUCGCAAUCGAUUCUUCACAGGAAACUACCAUGUCAUGCAUGUUAUGUAAUCAUGUUCUGUCCUCACAAAAAAAUUCUUCAAGGUAACUAACAGACCAUGCAUUGUUAUAUACUCAUGUUCUGUGGGCAAAAUUUUUGUGAGGAUAUUAUUCUAGCCAUUGAUUGCUGAAGGGCGAAUAUAGGUAUGUACACAUGGUAAGCAUUACAAGAUUUGACUACUUCCAAAUAUAGAGUUCUCCAUAUGCACAUUUACUUCCCUAAUGUAUGGUUAGAUGAAACAAACAGUGUGAUGCAUGUUUCUACAUCAUGAAAAUGAGGAAACUAAUAUGGCCAUUGAUACACACUCAUAUUUAGUAGUAGUAUAUAGAUUACUAUAAAAUAAGGAGAAUAUCCAUAUCUUCCUAACCGUUUGAUUAUUCAGGGGUACAAAUUGGCUGUAAUGACAUGGUCACAAUCGCAUGAAUUAACUCAUUCCAAAUAUAGCUGAUUUACGACGUCUCUAAUACAUUGCCAUAGUUCUACUCAAAUUCCGCUCAAACAGGGAUAUGCCAAUCAUCACAAAAAGUCCAAACAGUGUCAUGGCGUCAUCAUUAACAUCAGACGGAAACAACUUACACGCGCCGUCCCAACAAUACGUGGUGCCAUCUGCUUUAUCGAUCGCGUAGAUGAUGCCAUUGUGUUCAAUAGCAUCACAGAAGUGUGUAUUAACUUUGACGAUGAUCCACUGCGAGCUGAGUUGUCUCCAGCUAAAGAAGGCACCGGCGUAAAGAUAGGCGAGUCCGCGGUCGAACAAGGCAAUUAGCUUGAAGUCUGCGUAAUCCGCAUGUCGUGUGGGCACUUGGCAGAUUACAAUCUUCUGCAAAACAAGGUCCAUCCAACUGACGCCGUAAUCUAGAUGACUUGGACCGCGAUGGUAAAACUCUAUAUAAUCCAACGGAGGAAGGAUAAUCUCAUGGGAGGUCUGGAAGUUCACGAGCACCAACUUUUUCCCGUCUUCUCUGAUGGCAGCCAUCCAGUGGGAGUUCAUGCCGCCCAGUACAUACCUACCAAGAAGUUUCGGGCAAUGGUGAUCGGAUCGAAGUCGAGGGAAAUGAUGUACGAUGACACACUACAUACCUGCAAAGAAGUUUUGGCUAAUGGAGAUCGGAUUGAAGUCGAGGGGCAUCAUGUACGCCUCCGUAUCAUGGUGAGAAAAUCUCGCAAGACCGGAUAGCAGCAAGCAGGGUGUCUUGAGAAGCUUAGGCCUCGCUUCGACGUUGGCUGUGUGCAUGUCCCUCAAGCAUGCAGCCAGCCGCAGGGCGCUCAACAUAUCCAUACACGAACAACAAAGGUCGAGGAUGUCACUGGGGAGAUUGCUCCAAUCGCGGCUCAUAUGGAUGCUGCGCGGUUCGCAUUCGGCCAUGGUGGAGUUUGGAAGGUGGGGUUUUGGAGGGCUUGAUUUACGGGGGAGAAGGCUCUUGGUGCUGGAGCGACUAGCGAGGGAAUAGUGGUACUGGGGGAGGCGAGCGAGGCGAGGGUACGCGGGGGCACAGUGAGGUGAUGAAGAGUGACCUUAGGAUCUUCGGCGAGACGGAGAUGGAGAUGGAGUGGUGCUAGGGGAGAGGGAGACGAGGCGAGGCAUGCUAUACAGCGGUGGUGACAGUGACUGCAUAGUGCAUAAGGUGAGGCUGACUUUGGAAACCCGAACACGCCGCCUGGAGUGGUGUCAACUCGGGCGCAGGGUCUUGUCACUUCACUGUGAGGACCGGAUGAAUAAUAUUUUGACCAUCAAGUGUACCACAGUUGUACUACUACUACUAGUAGGAGUAGUAGGAACAUGAGUAGUACUCCCAUGCUAGCAUGCCUCUGGGUUCACUUCAUCCUCCAGGUAUCAUCCAUAUUGCGAGCAGAACCAAAUUCUCGUGCAUGCGGAAGCGCGAAGAAGGCCUUUUCUUUUUUGAGGAUAAUCGCAUAUUCCUUAACUAGAGAAUGUUGUGUCUCCCACGCAUGCGCCAAUAUCCAUCCGAACCAGCUACGACACUUUUUUUUAUCCGUUUGCAUAGGUCCCACCUGUCAGGAGGGGUGCGGAAAUAAAAAGGAAUCAUAAAAUGUCUCGCCACAGUGAUUCGAAAGAGUGAACUCAACUAGACAGUGGCACAUGUAGCGCUAGAAGGAUGGGCACGUACAGGGACAGGUACCACCCCUCAAUCUACCCGCGUAGCCUUUUCGUUUAGUCUACCUAGCCGUCUAAUCAACUGCCUGCAGGCCACUUCUCCCAUUUACUUCUCCAUCGGGAACCGAUUUUCCUCGGCUUCUUCACUACUCCUUGACUAGCCAUCUAAUCCUAAUUCUCCAAACCAUAGCCCUCCGGUCUAGCGGUUCCAAAUGGCGAAAGAGAUCGAGAUGCGGGUUUUUAGCGUCCAACAUGUCCUCGUCGAAGGCUCGUUGAGCAUAGUUGCCACAGUCACCGACCACCCAAGGGUUGUUCGGAAGUGGAUCAACAAUGUAUCCAACUCCCUCCAAAAGGUGGAGAUGAAGGUCAUCGGUCUCGACACAGAGUACACGGAGCGUGCCACUGGGAAGAUCCAACGCGCCGCCGUCCUUCAGCUGUGCCUCGAAGAUGAUGUUUUUCUGUACCACAUCAUACACGCGCCCUCCAUACCAGGUGAGCUUCAUGAUUUCUUGUCUCGGGAGGGCAUAUACUUCUAUGGGAAGCCAUCGCAGGGGACAAACAGAAGUUGGAGCCAUACAACCUUGAUUUGAAAAGCAUCGCUGACGUACAAACCAAAAUAAAAAUUCCUGUAGAAGAUUGUGAUAAACCGACACCAUCCCUAUUCGACGUAGCAAAUUUUGUGCUCGGACCAAAUCUUCAGAAGGGUGACGAGACGCUGGCAUUAAGGUCGUCUGGAUGGGAGAAUUGUCCCUUGACGUACGAGCGGAUAAAAUAUGCUGCCCUUGAUGCUCGUGUGAGUUUUGAGAUAGCUGCAAGGUCCAGAGAGCUUGUUGCGAAGCCGUCUCCCACAGAAAAUGAGAAGAACAUGUCUUUGGAACAAGUAGUAGCAUGGGUCCGCUUGACUAUAAGGAACUAUUUAUCCUCCUAGCUUUCUCUACUACUCCUUCCAGUGAUCGGUAUGCAAUGCAUGUGUCCGUAGACAUGACAGCUUGUCCAUGGAAGUUCAACUACGGCGACCAUCACGUUUCAUCCACUGCCACUCGCGAUUCCCACGAUGCCGCUCCAACCUACGGCACCACGUCCCCCGACAUGCGCCUCACCCCUCUCAGCCGCACCGCCCCUCUGCCUUUGUGUGCAUGACAUGUGGGCCACCUGAAAUGCGGCGAGCAUCAAGUUUCACUACACCACGGUAGAGCUUCCGUGACACACCUAUGUGUCGGCAUAGGGUACCUUUGCCGACAGAUAUGUUGUAGCUAACACCAAUGCUGACAAAAGAUGAAAGAGUCGGAGGACUUGCUGUGGGCAAAGGUAUUGCCGACAAUUGUUUACUUCCCGUCUUCCCGACACUUUUUCAGUCGGCAUACACCCUACCUACGCCGGCAGAUGGUAUGUCCACAUACACCCUAACUACGCCGACACUUUUUUAGACAAGAUACACCCUACCUACGCCGACAGAUAGCCUGUCCACAUACACCCUACCUAUGCUGACACUUUAUUAGCCAGGUACACCAUACCUAUGCCAACAGAUAGUAUAUCAACAAAUACCCUACCUAUACUGGCAGAUAUUUCCUUUGCCAACAUAUAAAUUGCUGGUAAAGUGAUGUGCAGCCAAAACAAUAUACAUAUAUAUAUAAUUAUCCAUAUAUACAAGCUCUAAACAGAUUCAAUUAUUAACCUCACAUCCAGAAGCAGGUUCAAGAUUAACACAUACUGUAUAACAAUGAAAAUAUGUUCACAAACAUGCAUAUACAUUGAACGCAAGUUGACAAACACAUCAAAUCUUGACAAAGCAUAGUUUGACCAUCUUAACAAUCACCCAGAACACACAAGUCACAAAAGGAUGAGCACUAUUUGCUGGUACGAGAGACUUCAGCUAGAUGGUCCAGAACACACAAGUAUGCAUCCACAUGCACAGAGUGCAAGCUCCAAAAUACUCGAAACAUCAAAUUGUCUAGAAGACACAUAAGAUCCAUGAUUACAGGUUGGUUGAUCCAUAAACACUGCAAAGUCAUCACGUCCAUGUGCAC
rnacentral:lncRNA from 1 species